rnacentral:lncRNA from 1 species
UCUUCUAAUUACUAUGAGUCAAUAUUUCUGACUAUGAAAGGCAUUGACUUACAAAUGGAGAGGAUUCUAACAACUUUUGCAACUAUUGAUUUGUCCAGCAAUAGAUUUCAAGGGAAAAUUCCAGAAGUAGUGGGAAAGCUGAAUUCACUCAAAAGUCUCAACAUUUCUCACAACAACCUGACAGGUGGUAUUCCUUCAUCGCUGAGAAAUCUGACAGAGCUUGAAUCUCUAGACCUCUCUUCAAACACGCUUACUGGACGUAUCCCAACGCAACUGGCGAGUCUGAAUUAUCUUUCGGUGUUGAAUCUUUCGAACAACCAGCUCAACGGACCCAUACCACUAGGACCCCAAUUUAAUACUUUUGGAAAUAAUUCCUAUUCUGGUAACUCAGGGUUGUGUGGAUUCCCAUUAUCAGAGAGCUGCAGCAUUGAUGAGGCGCCAGAACCAACAACACCAUCAAGAUUUCUCGAAGGAGAUUAUGCUUCUAGGUGGUUUGAUUGGAAGUUUGCUAAGUUGGGUUACGCAUCUGGAGUGGUGAUCGGCUUGUCCAUCGGAUACAUGGCAUUUGUGACUGGAAGGCCACAAUGGUUUGUAAGAAUGAUCGAAAGGAAGCAAUCCAAGAAGCCGAGAAGGGUGAUCAGACGAGGCAGAGCAAGUAGAAGAAGUUUGUAGGUGCAUCUCUAGAGGCCCAGGUGAGCAAUUAUUAGUUUGUCUUUUGGAAUUAUAAGCUGGUUUCCACUGUUCUUUGAAUAGAUGGCAUGCUGAUAUUAUCGUAAUCUAACAGUUGGCUUACAAAAAUCACAAUCUUACAAGUUCAGCAUAUAUAAUCCAUAAUUAUAUAGAUUACAAAUUCUAAUUUGUAGUAAAGUAAUUACGAAGUAAAUGGAAGGUCGUAAAAGUAUUAAGGUUGUAAAAAUCUUAGUUUCAAAUAAUAAUAAAAUCUAAUUGUUUUAUGUUUAUUAAAUGAUUAAAUGAUAUCAUGAUUUUAACAAAUAAAAUUAUAAAUAUCAUGACUUUAUAAAAUGACAAAUCUAAAGUUUUACAACUUCAAUAUUUUAUUUAUGAAAUCAUAAAUUAGUCAGAAGAAAUAAGCUUCAUUUGCAAACGAAAUAUUUUUCACCAUUUAUACACAAAAAAUUAAAAUAAAAUAAAAGUUGUAUUUUCAUUCAAUGGAGUUAAAGUGCAAGUAAAAUAUUAAUAGUUCAAAUAAAAAUACAUAUCAUAUGCAUCAUUACAAUUGACAGUACAUCUCAACUAGGUUGGCACCCACUAAACCAUCUAUCAUUUGCGAAAUUAGAUAAUAUAGUUGUGUUAAUAAAAUGUUAAUAAUUAUAUUUUAAUCUAAAACUUGUAAACAUUAAUGUUAUUACAAAUUAUCAUUUACAACUUUAUAUAAGUACAAAUUAGCAAUUAAAUGUUAACCCUUCAGAAAAAUUAUUUAUUAUUAUUGUUAAGAAGGGAAAUUAUCAUUGCACCACCGUUCUUUUGCCUUAUGUUCAUCCAACCACCAUAAAAUUCUAACAUGUUCUCAGCAACACCUUUCUUUUGAAAUUUGUAUUAAUUAGCUACUUUUGCACUAACAACGUUAAAUAAUUUAAACGAAAUAACAAUUUUACUCCUAAAUAAAUUAAAAGACCAUUUUAUCUUAAAAACUUGGAAAAUAAAAAAUUAUAAUUAUAAAAAUACCCCUAAAUUAAAAAAUAAAGCCAAAAUGGAGGUGCUCAGUUGAUUUUUAUUAAAUUUAGAUUUUACAAAAUUUUAAUCAUUAUUUUUAUUAAAAAUUUAUAAUUUUGCAAAAUUCAAUAAAAAAUAAAUGAAUUUAUUUAUUAAAAAGUUAUAAUUUUGCAAAAUUUUAUUAAAAUAACUGAAUUUUUUAUUAAAAAAUAAAUCCCAAAAUUUUAAUAAUUUAGGGGAUUUUUAUUAAAUCCCAAAAUUUUGUAAUUUUUUUAUAAUUAUAAUUUUUUAAAAUAAAUUUUAUUAAAAAUAAAUAUUCUUAAUUUUUGGAUUUAUUUCUUUAUUAAAUGUAUGGGUAUUUUUAUAAUUAUAAUUUUUUUAUUUUCAAAGCUUUUACAAGAUAAAAAGAUCUCUUAGUUUAUUUUGGGGUCAAAUUAUCAUUUUUUUUAAAUUAUUCAACGGUAUUAGUGCAAAAGUGAUUAAUUGAUACAAAUUUCAAAAGAAAUAUGGUGCAGAGAACAUGUUAGAAUUUUGUGAUGAUUGGAUUAACAUAAGGCAGAAGAAAGGUGGUGCAAUGAUAAUUUCCCUUAUUAAGAAUUAUCCUAUAUGUAUUAAAAAAAAAGAAAUGGGGAUUUUUUUUUUUAGCCCAAAAAAGGAAAAAAGAAAAAAGAAAAAGAGGUACAGGCGGUGCGGCCAAUUGGCCUUCUCUAUAUGUGAAAUGGGGAAUAACAAAUGGGGAGAUUGCCAAUUUCCCCCCUACAGUAAUCAACAUAUACCAUUUUCUCCUCUGCUGUUUUUAUAAUGGCCAAAAACCUCCCUGAUAGCAUAAGUUUACAAUAUUAUCUUUAUUUUCAACUACUCUUUUAUUUAUAUUUAUUAUAAAUUAAAUAAAUCACAUGAAUAGAAACUAAAUAAAAAAUUAAGCAUUAAAAAUAAGAAAUAUAUGUUUUGAUAUGAGAAGAAAAUUAAUAAUAAAAUUUUUUUCUUGUACUUAUUUAUUUUGUGAAAUUUUUCUUAUAAUAAAUAUAUAAGAAAGUUAUUAUAAAAUGAUAAAAAAUUAUUAUAAGAAAAUUUGAAUGACAAAUAAAAAUUUAUUAUAAGAUAAAUAAUAAAAUAUUUUGCCUAUACUUUUUACAUUUAAUUUUAAAAUAUUACAAAAUGUUUAUUAUAAGAAAAUGUUCACAAAAUAAAUAAUUACAAAAAAAAUUUCAUUAUUAAUUUUUUUGCUCAUAUCAAAACAUAUAUUUCUUGUUUUUAAUACUUAAUUUUUUUAUUUAGUUUCUAUUCAUGUAAUUUAUUUAAUUUAUAACAAAUGUAAAUAAAAGAGUAAUUAAAAAUAAGGAUAAUAUUGUAAACUUAUGUUGUCAGUGGGGUUUUUGGCCAUUAUAAAAACAGAAGGAGGGUAAAUGGUAUAUGUUAAUUAUUGUAAGGGGGAAAGUGGCAAUCCCCCUAACAAAUAAUCUUGACUCAAUUAAUUGUAACAAUAACGAUUUGGAACACGAUGUGGGCUUAAUUUGGGUGUGCAUCUUCAGUUCUGUAACCUGAAUUUGGGUGUGCAAAUUGUAAUAUUACCCUUUUAAACUCACAAUGAGAUAAUUGAAUGGGGUGUAAAAGAAAAUGGAUUUAAAUAAAUGAAAUAUGGUAUGUCCAAAAUCUCUGACCCUGUAUCAUCCUUGUUCAAAUGGCUCAGUAUGUAUGUGCCAUGUCAAAAUGUGAGAACUCAUCCACGUCACCAGCCUCAACACCCUCGCCACGUCAUCACUCAACCGGUGUUAUAACUGAUGAUAAUUUGGAUAAGAUAAACAGUUAAAUUGUGAGUCUUCACUCUUCAAAGAGAAACCAAAAUGGCGCGAGCUUUGCUUCAUUUGAAUAGCACAGCCACGGCCAUAAUGGCCAGUGCUACAAGUGCUACUAAAGAAACAGUUCUUGUCAGGCUCUCUUCAGGCUCUGCCCGGCCUUCAGAUUGUAGUUGGCUCUCGAAACAGGUGAAAUCAUUAAUACUCUUUUCUUUCUUCUAGUUGUUUCCCGAGAAAAUGCAAGAAAUAAAGGGAAAAUUUUUUCAAGCUUUGUUACUUAAUGUUAUUUUUAUGAUUACUAUGUUUCUUUGGUUCUUUUAAAAUUUAAAUUCAAGUAUUAGUCUGUCUUUAAGUAGACCGCAUGAUGGUAUUUUUCACUAUCUGAACUAGUAUUUGAACAGUAUAUUAAUUUGAUGUGUUUUUUGUUCAGGAAUUUUAUUACACUCAUGGAAUCGAAGCAGUGGAAGUCAUAUAAUCCUGCAGGUACAACAAUUUUCUUUGCUUUAUUUUCCAAUCCAUAUUAAUAUGCUAGGACUUAUUUUUUGUUGGCAAACUUGAUCAAAACUCUUGAGGAAAAAAAAUGAUUUGAAGAAAUAAUAAUGUUGAUGUAGGAAAUGGUGUGGGCAACUUUUAUUUGUUUGUCUUGGGCCAGUAUGUUGGAUUUGGAAAUAUUGGAAGGUUGCAACGAUACAAGAAUCAUUCACCGCCUGCAGACAGCUAUGAUCCAUAUAUGCGAUUUUUGCAAUGUUUAUUUUUCAUAAGAAAUUCAAAUGCUACUUCAGAUUUUUUUAAUAAAUCCCGAAUCCUUGUACAUCCAAAUUUCAUUGUUUCAUGAUUCAUCAUAAUCCAAUGAAGUCUUGAAUGCUUGUACCAAUUCAAAGGUUAGUUGUGGAUCAACAAAAAGAAAUAAAAUGUAUGUGGGCUGGACACAGGUCCUAUAUAUAUAUACCAGUUAAUUUUUUUGCCAAGAUAUCUCCACUGUUGGUUAUCUGCUUGAGUCUGAAGCAAUAACAGAAAAAAAAAAAUAAUAAUAAUAUGACUAGUUAUUAUUAAAUUAGUCGUUAAAAUAUUUAUUUAUUCUUAUUACGAUAAUUGAGGCAAUAAAUUGCAUAUUCUUGUUUAAUUUUGAGUUCUUCAUUGAUAACGUUCAAAUUUUUAUUUUUUAUUUGAUUUUUUUCUAAUUUUAGGGGGGAGAAAAGGUAAAGAAUGAGAGAUUAUUUAACAAAUUAAAUUUAGAGCACAAGCACAGAAGCAUUAAGCUCCUGCUAAACUGUUGUUCGACUUGCAAGUUUUUGGAUCAAAUAAUAAAGUUUGUGCCUUGAGAAGUUAGCUCAUGGCUGGAAUGUUAUUUCUAAUCUAGAGCUAGCGUCCUGAGAAAAUUUUGCAUCCUUGCAGGGAAAAAGGUGCUGCAAUUGUGUCUACAUUGUUGAAGUUUUCUGAAUUUUCUGAAGUUAAUUGGUAGACAUUAUUCUUUUACACUAAAUAUGCAAUUGAGUUCACAGCUAUCCAAAAAAUGGGGCAGUUUUUAUAUUUAAUUACAAAAUUAUCCUUAUUGAAACCCAUAUAAGAGUAUUUACAUUAAUUAGUUAUAUUGCUUCUUCAACUAUCAUCAAAUUCUUAUUCGAGUUCAUCAUUUAAGGAAUAAAUGUGUUAUCUAAAUAAUUACAAAUGAUGUACUAAGCAAAUAUUUUGAGAAAUAAGACUCAUUAUGGCUCCUUUCAUUAGUUGUAUCUUUAAUUUCUUAUUAAUGAAAUUCUCUCGCAUUGCCCAAAAAAAAUGUUGUUAGCGUCACCAUUGAAAGGGGCCAAAUUAUGUAUUGUCUGACUAGUGAAACUGUUAUCAUAUAUGCUAAUAUGCUGCUUCUGGAUCCAUUAUUCUGGCUUUUUAUCAUUUCCAUGGCAGUGAUGGGAGCAGCGCUUGUUCAUAUUGGUAGAAGUGAAAGCAAAUUAAGGAGAGACACAUAGACUAAGGUAAUAAUGUCCACUAAGUUUAAUAUGGUGAAGUCCUGGAUCAGUCGCUUUGCUGAAAUGAUUUCAAGUAAUCGCCCACAGUGAUUGGCAAUUUUCUCUUAUUUAAGUUUUGGUGAAAGUGAAGCUCAUCCACAGAAAAUAAUUGACAGGAAGUGUUAAGGAGAAAAGAUCAGCCUAAUUCAAUGGCUAGGGAUGUUACAAUCAUUUUUUUGUUACUAAAUAUUUUUAAAUUAGGAUAACGUAUUAAUGGAAAAAAAAAAAUUCAUAGUCUAACAAUUGAUUUACAAAAACCAGAAUCCUGAUUAAAUUCAGAUAAUAAUUAUAAUCAACGUCUAUAGGAAAAGGGAAAACGAGAAUCAUAUGUAAGAAAAAUUAUUUCAUGAUGGAGGAAACUUUACCUUAAUUAUCGAUGUGUUUCUCUUCAGGAAUUUUAAUCUCUUCGUACCGAAAUUUAUUUUUGCUUUAAUUUAUUUCUAUAGCUCAUAAGAACUUGCUAUCACAGAACAUAUGUUUUGAUGGUAAACUUGAUCAAAUUUUUAUGGGAAAAAAAAAUUGAAUUGAAAUAAUAUUAUAUUGUUGCAGGAAAAAAUAUGUGAGGGCAACUUUGAUUAGGUGUAUCUUGGGCCACGUACGUAUCAGGAAAAUUAUUUUGUUGCAGGAAAAUUAUUUUGUUGCAGGAAAAUAGAUUUUCCAAAAAUCUGUCCUUUGGCCGACCGAUCCUAUAUGAUCCUUGUUCAAAUUGGCCCCGUAUGUGGCACGUCAACACUUCAAAACUCGGCCACGUCAUCAACUUCGCAAAAUUCUCGCCACAUCAUCACUGAACUGGUUACGACGGAUGAUAACCUGUUGAAAAGUCAAAGAGUUUUGAGCCACAUGCAUUGCUUCUGUUUUUCAAAGUUGGCACCAAAUUGCAAGCUGUAAAAUAUUUGGCUUUUGACAAUCCUUCACCAAAUGAAGAAAAAUGAGAAAGGUUAGCAAAAUUUGUCAAAUUGACAGAUAGGAGAAUUGAAAAAUUGCAAAGCGGAUGGUGCAAUAGUGCAACGUUUUUUGCUACAAAUAAAGAUGCAUUCUUCAUUUGUAAAGCAUCCCAAAAAAUUUGUUAAGCUUAUAAGUUUCUAAACUUUUGAGAGUUCUGCGAGUGUGAGCAAUUGGAGAGUGUGUGUGAGAGUAUUGAGUGUAUUUGGGUUCUGGGAAAGUGAGAUUUCUUUACUCGAAUUUGUACUCAAAUAAUUGUUAAUAAUACAAGUAUUUUUCUCUUGCUCCCGUGGACGUAGGCAUAUUGCCGAACCACGUAAAUUCUUGUAUCCUUUAUUUUUUUGUGAUUAUUCAGUGCGCUUGUUUCCGCAUUCCAUGCACAACAAGUGGUAUCAGAGCUAAUGGUUCGUACUUGGGGGGAUACGGUACUGUUCACGUAUAUGAUACUAUUCACGAAUAUGGUACUGUUCACGAAUACGGUGGAGACGGCCAUUUGUACUUGGGAGACAGUCUAUUAUAAGUAGUGUGUAUUUUUGCAUGUCUAGGAAAGUUCUGUCAACAAAGGCGAUAAGAGUCUAAGGAUUCUGGUUUUUAAUUGGGACCGAGUUCCCGUCUAGUUUCCUGAAAACUUUCCUGGUGCAUUUAUUCACGCAAAAUUAACAUCAUAGAGACUGUUUUUUCAAGUGGAAAUAAUUCAUCGAGAAAAUGGUAGAAGGUGAAACUUCCAGAAUUGGGGAGAGAUCUACCUAGGCUAUUUCAGGAGACACUUCAGGUGGGAGGCGAGAUUUGUCAAAUCGCUAUUCAGCACCUGUUAUAGGAGGCCGGAAGAUCGAUGUUGAAAAGUUUUAUGGGAAAAUCAACUUCGGCAUGUGGAGGCGCGAAGUUAUGGAUGCCCUUAUUCAAAUCGAUCUCGAUGUUGUUCUGAAAAAUAAAAGACACUUGUAUGAUGAAGAAAUUUGGGAUCGUAUGAACGAGAAAGCUUAUGGUCAGAUCAGAUCUUGUUUGACCAAGGAGGCGAAAUACUUGGUGAAAGAUGAGGAGUGUGCUGUGACUUUGUGGCGUACAUUGGAGGAGAAGUACCUGCUGAAAAGUCCUGAAAAUCGUCUUCAUGCAAUGAGCCAAGUAUAUGGCUUUCGAAUGAAGCCUGGGGUGUCAAUGCACGAUCAUGUCUCAAGAUUUGAAAAGUUACUUGCUGAUUUGAAGAAUCUUGAUCAAGAUAUUAAGGAUGAAGUCAAAGUUAUGAUUCUGUUACACUCAUUACCAGAGGAAUAUAGCCAUUUUAUGACUACCUUGAUAUAUAGGAAGAGUGUGAUCGUCUUCAAAGAUGUUUACACAGCAUUGACUAACUUGGAGAUUCGGAAUAAUGAUAAAAAUUUCUGAAUGAGCAUCGUCUAAAGCUUUGGUGAGUAGAGAUUGGGCGAUGGAGAAAAAGAAAAAGCAUGGUGGAAAGAAUUCUCGAUCCAAAUCGAGAAGUAGAAAUCUAGCUCGAGAUGAGUGUGCCUUUUGUCAUGAAAAGGGUCAUUGGAGGAAAGAUUGUCCAAAGGCUCAAAAGAGAGAUGAGAAGAAACCAGCAGCAGCAAACAUGGAACGGAAAGAUGAAGACUCUGAUUAUUCACUAAGUAUUACUCCUGCAGCAUACGUGACUAGUUCGAGCGAGUGAAUACUUGAUACUGGAGCAACCUAUCAUUUGUGUCCUAUUAAGGGAUGGUUUACGGAUUUUCGUAAUUUGGAAUCCGGUGCAGUUGUGAUGGGGAAUGAUCAACCUUGUCGCACAAUUGGGAUAGGAACAAUUCGGCUCAAAAUGUUUGAUGGAAUGAUCAGAGAACUCAAAGAGGUUAGAUUUGUUCCAACUUUAAAGAAAAAUCUAAUUUCUCUGGGUGCUUUGGAGCUAAAGGCUACAAGAUUACCAUUGAAGAUGGCACAAUGAAGUUUACACAUGGGGCUAUGGUGAUUUUGCAAGAGGUUUGGCGUCACAAUCUGUACUAUUUGAAGGGAAGUACAACUGAUGAAGCAAAUAUUGUUGAGGCGCACAGUGACACCACCAAGCUAUGGCAUGUACGACUGGGACAUGCUGGUGAGAAGUCUUUGCAAACUCUGAUGAGGCGCGGACUCUUAAAAGGUACCAAAACCUGUGAGUUAAAUCUCUGUGAGCAUUGUGUAGUAGGCAAGAAAACAAGGGUCAAGUUUGGUACAGCCAAUCACGAUACUUGUUGUACAAAUUUUAAUGUACUCGCAAGCGCACGAAUCUAUUGUGGUAUAGAUCAAUGGUGACGAGUGUCGAUCCCACGAGGAGGUAGAUUUUAAUUGUGUAGAAUUAAUUUUGUAAAUGGGUGAUUGGAUUUGUGGUGGAAAUGAUUUGGAAUAUAUUAAAACUUAAAUUAAACUGGCGAGAAUAAAUUCUAAAAUUGGUAUUGAAAUAGCGAGAAUAAAUUGAAGAGAAUUCUAUUGAAAUGACGUACUUGGGUAUCUGGAUCCGUAUCAACAUGCAUCAUGGGCUAAAUAAUCCGUAUUAAUGCCAAUUAAAUCAUGAGGGGGGAAUCCACACCUCAUGAACCACGCUCUAAUCAAUAUGGUGCUAAGGGCUUAUCGUGCCAAAUAAUAAUAACCUUAUACUAGAGAGCCGGUGAAACCAAGGCGGUACUAGACAAGAUUAGUAUUAUUUGUCGACGAGAAGUCAAAACAUCCACAAAAACUAGAGGGGAGGAGAAAAUAAAUUUACCAAAUUAAGCCCAUGACACAUGUUGAGACUUCACCUUCAACCCAAGCUUGAAAGAAAAUUAGCCACUCAUAAUUGAACUAGGGGCAAAAUGGGAAUUUAUUAAAAUACAUAGAAAAUACAAGAUGGAGAGGGAAUUACAGAAAAUGGAUCCCAAAAAUGGAUUCAGAGAUAUCAAAUUAGGGGGGGAGGCCCCAUUUUUAUAGAUACAUGGAGUAAAUCAUGGCCAUCGGAUUAAAAACAGUUUGGACGCUCAGGAUUGCGCCACGUCAUCAGUCAACAGUCCACGGUUUGACCACGCGGAUGAACAGUAACACGGUUUGACCCGGAUGAACAGUAACGCGGUUUGGUUGAAAAUAAUCCUGUGUGAUGCAUGCACCGUACGCUAGAUUUUUCGUCCACUGAUAUGCUGCCACGUCACCAUCAACAGUACAUAAGAAUUUUAGUCCAACAGGAUCGUGACACCUCAUCAGUCAAUGCCACAUCAUCGGUCAAUGCCACGUCAUCGAUCCGUCUAUGUGAACAUUGUCGUGAACAGUAACGUAUACAGUACCGUACACGUGAAUAGUACCGUACAUGUGAACAGUAACAUAUACAGUACCGUAUAUGUGAAUAGUGCCGUACAUGUGAAUAGUGCAAUUUUUCCUUUUAUGCUCCUUCUAAGGUUUUCAACCGUCCUGAGUUCAAAAGUGAUGUCCGUUUUGCCGUCUGAUCUCUCUUUUAUUGUGAAAUGACUAUAAUGCCCCUAAAAUACAUAAAAUACUUAAUUAAAAUAACACACACGUAAUUAUAUCACAAGAAGGUUAAAUACAUAAAAGUAAGAGUUGUUAGUAAGACUUGAAUGCCAGAACGAGGGUAUUAAAAGACAUUUCACGGUGAGACAUACUCCGCAACAGAACGAUGUAGCUGAGCGUAUGAAUCGUACUUUACUGGAGAAGGUACGGUGUAUGUUAUCUAAUGCUGGUUUAGAUAAAAAAAUUUGGGCUGAAGAUGUGAGCUACGCAAGUCACUUGGUAAACCGGUUGCCUUCUGCUGCAAUUGGAGGUAAAACUCCUUUGGAAAUGUGGUCUAGAAAGCAUGCACAAGACUACGAUUCUCUUCGUAUAUUCGGGUGUCCAACUUAUUAUAAUGUCAAAGAUGGUAAACUGGAUCCUCGUGCUAGAAAAGCUACCUUUAUGGGAUUCAAAGGUAGAGUAAAGGGCUUCAAGCUUUGAGAUCUCGAAGAUAAAAAGUUUGUGUGUAGCAGAUAUGUCACAUUUGAUGAAGUUUCAAUGAUGAAAACUUUAAGUUCUCAGCAAGUGGAGAACAAGACCAAAGAGGUAUUACAGCGGGUGGAGUUUAAUGCAACUCCAUAUGUACUAGUUAGUUCUGCAUCAAAGAAUGGUUCAACUAUGGAGGUGACACCUAGAGUUGAAGAAGAGGUUGUUUCUUCUAAUGUCCCACAAAAUGAAGAAACAAUUGAUGAUGUAGAUAAUGAUGAUUUUAUAGCAACAAGGAGGCCAAGAAGAGAGAUAAAGAAACCUAGAUGGCUUACUAAAGAUAUGGCUGUAGCCUAUGCACUUCCAGUUAUUGAUGAUGACAUCUCCAACACUUUCGGUGAAACAUUAUGCAGCAGUGAAAGUGAUCAGUGGAAGUUAGCUGUGGAGGAAGAGAUGAAAUCUCUCCAUCAAAACCAGACUUGGGAACUUGUAAAGUUACCAAAGGGAAAAAGGGCUAUUGGCAAUAAAUGGGUCUACACCAAAAAGCAAGGAUCUUCGAAUCAAUCAACUCCUCGAUACAAGGCAAGGUUCGUGGCGAAAGGUUUUCCUUAAAAGGAAGGUAUUGACUACAAUGAAGUUUUCUCUCCAGUUGUAAAACAUACUUCCAUUCGUAUCCUACUUGCCUUAGUUGCAGAAUAUGAGUUAGAGUUGGCUCAGUUGGAUGUUAAGACUGCAUUCUUACAUGGAGAUUUGGAGGAGGAAAUCUAUAUGAUUCAGCCUUGUGGUUUUAAAGUUGCUGGCAAGGAGAAUCAUGUGUGUAGGUUGAUUAAAUCUUUGUACGGACUGAAGCAAUCGCCAAGGCAGUGGUACAAAAGAUUUGAUCAAUUUAUACAAGGGUAGAACUUCACCAGAAGUGAACACGAUCAUUGUGUUUACUUUAAAAAACUACCAUAUUAAGCUUUCAUCUAUUUGUUACUCUAUGUCGACGAUAUGUUUAUAGCUUCGACGAAUAGAGAUGAGAUCGAAAGAUUAAAGAAGCACCUGGCUUCUGAGUUCGAGAUGAAAGACUUGGAUAAUGCACAAAGAAUACUUGGGAUGAAGAUUCAUGGAGACAAUAAGAAUGGGAGCGUAUGGUUAACUCAAAAGUCUUAUUUUAAGAAAGUGCUGGAAGGAUUCGGUAUGGAUGACAAAACAAAACCGGUAUGUACACCUAUAGUUCCUCAUUUCAAAUUAAACUCUUCUUCAUGUCUUAGAUCUCGAGAGGAGCGCGAAUACAUGACUCGUGUUCUAUAUGCUAGUGCUGUGGGUAGUCUUAUGUAUGCUAUGGUAUGCACAAGACCCGAUAUAUCUCAAGCAGUGAGCAUGGUUAGUAGAUACAUGCACAAUUCGGGUAAAAAUCAAUGGCUUGCGGUAAAGUGGAUUCUCCGAUAUCUGUAUGGGACAGUUGAUGUUGGGUUAUUGUUCAAGAAGGAUUGUGGUCAACAAUGUGUUGGGUAUUGUGGUUCUGAUUUCGCUGGAGACCUUGACAAGUGAAGAUCAACAAUGGGCUACGUAUUCACAUUGAGUGGAGGUCCGGUUAGCUGGAGGUCGAUUUUACAAUCGACAAUUACUCUGUCCACUACGGAAGCAGAGUACAUGGCAACAACUGAAGCUGUAAAGGAAGCUAUCUGGUUGAAAGGCUUGUUAUGUGAUUUGGGAGUAAUCCAAGAGAACAUUGCGGUCUUUUGUGAUAAUCAAAGUGCGAUAUUCCUCGCGAAGAAUUAAACAUAUCAUGCUCAGACGAAGCACAUAGAUGUGAAAUAUCAUUAUGUGAGGGAGAUUAUCGAAGGUGGUGACGUGUUGUUGAAGAAGAUCAAUACAAAAGAUAAUCCAUCAGAUAUGUUGACGAAGGUAGUUUCUGGAGUUAAGUUCCAACAUUGCUUGAAACUAAUUCAAAUCCUUCAAUUGUGUUAAGUUAUGUCCUUCGGGAAUUUUAAAUUACGAUUAGCUUGAUCCCAAUUUUUGGGUACGUAGGCAGUCACAGAGAUGCAGCCACUUUGGGGAUGAUGGUUCAUUGAUAGUCGGCUAAGAUUUGACUAAAUCUUCACCGAGGUAGAGAAUUGUUGAAAAGUCAAAGAGUUUUGAGCCACCUGCAUUGCUUCUGUUUUUCAAAGUUGGCACUAAAUUGCAAGCUGUAAAAUAUUUGGCUUUUGACAAUCCUUCACCAAAUGAAGAAAAAUGAGAAAGGUUAGCAAAAUUUGUCAAAUUGAAAGAUAGGAGAAUUGACAAAUUGCAAAGCGGAUGGUGCAAUAGUGCAACGUUUUUUGCUAUAAACAGAGAUGCAUUCUUCAUUUGUAAAGCAUCCCAAAAAAUUUGUUAAGCUUAUAAGUUUCUAAGCUUUUAAGAGUUCUGUGAGUGUGAGCAAUUGGAGAGUGUGUGAAAGUACUGGGUGUAUUUGGGUUCUGGAAAAGUGAGAUUUCUUUACUCAAAUAACUGUUAAUAAUACAAUUAUUUUUCUGUGAUUAUUCAGUGCGCUUGUUUUCGCAUUCCGCGCAUAACACUACCUACUACUAGAAGAAGCUGUGUCCAAAACAAAUUAGAGUUCCAUUAUUAUUACAAAUUAUAAGUAAACUACACGUUUUAAAAUCGGUAGACAAUAAUAUUGCAGUUUCAAAUCGAGCAAUGCACGCGUAAUCCCUAUUACGACAGAAUAACACAAAAUUAACAAAAGGAAAGCACAUAAUUGACUACUUUGAAAGCUUUUAUUGCAUUUUCUCAUAAACCAAAACAGAAGAAAGAAAGUAUUAACAUUUUCACCUGAUUUCGAGAGCCAAAUGGUCGGAGCAAAGCAACGGAAAGAAAUUGCACCGUUUACGCCAUGAAUGAAAGUGACUUAAUUCUACAAAUAUGACACCAUACACAGUGAUUCUAUUAAUAUGACAAUUUCUUAAUGAAAAGUCAUAAAUAAAUAUCCUUAAAGAGUAUAUUUAUUGAUUCUCCAUUUUUUUAGUUUUUACCUUACCAUUACCCCCCGGUUUUUUUACCUGACCAUUACCCACCCAUGGACUAUAAUUAUUAAAUACUCGACCUUUGUCUAAAAAUUAAGCGACCUUUUAUCUCACUCUUAUGACACUUGCAUUUAUACUCGAUUAUACUUAUUCUCAAUUUUGGAGUCAGAAAUGAAAACUGAGGAACUUGGUAAUUCACAAAUGCAGGUGGAUUUGUCGUAUAUAAGUGAAUAAAUGGAAAGGAAGGGAUGUAUAUUUGGAAGAUAAGCACUUUUGCUGCAUAUAAAAACAAAAUACACGCGUUUUUAAUGAUGUGUAUGGGACUGGGCCAUUUUUCUUUAUAAUUAUAGGCCUACUUUUGUUUCAACUAAAAUUCAAGUACUUGGUUGGUGCAAAUAAGCGGAGCACGCGCCAUUUUGGUCUCUUUUUAGUAUUCUCACCUUGUGAAGAGACUCAAUUCAACUGUUUUGCUUAUACAAAUUAUCAUCCGUUAUAACCGGUUGAGAGAUGACGUGGUGGAGUUUUGACAUGUUGACGUGGCACAUUAUGGGGCCAAUUUGAGCAAGGAUCAUAUAGGACAGAUUUUGGAAAAUCUCUUUUCCUGCGACAAAAUAAUUUUAUUGUUACCCUCACUUCCCUUGUCCGGAUACUGAUUCAAAUCCAAUAUACGUACUUGGCCCAAGAUAUACCAAAUCAAAAUUACCCUCACAUUUUGUUUUUUCCUGCAAUAAUAUAGUAUUAUUUCAAAUUAUUUUUUUUUUCACCCAAAAAUUUGAUUUACCAUCAAAACAUAUAUGUUCUGUGAGAGCAAGUUCUCAUGACCUAUAGAAAUAAAUCAAAGCAAAAAUAAGUUUCGGCACCAAGGGACCAAAAUUCCUAUAGUUGAGGUAUAAAAUUAUGAAAAGGGAUAAUCGUUUUGUGGUAAAUUGUAUUAGGAAAGUCAAAUGCUUGAUAAGCCCAGAGGUCAACAUUGUGAGAUGUAGUAGCUUUUUGCUGGGUUAUUAGGUAAAAAUGAUUUCAGUUGUAUGUUCUCCAAAAUGUGUUAAGAAAAUAAGAAUUGGUUAUGAAAAUAAAAGUAGUAAAGUGCAAAUCUUAGAAAUUUCCCGAAGUGCUGGAAUUUGAAAUAACUUCAAAUGCGAUUUUGAGUCCUGAAAUUGUACAAUUUCGUAAAAGCCACACGGGCAUCAGAGUCAAAGGCAAAUGGGCAACAUUGUUCAUCUUGUUAAUAUACCAUACGCCCAAUUGAAAAAAUGUGGCCAAAAUGGCACCAAAUGAAUUUCACCUCAAAUCAUUCCUACAUCAAAAUUAUUUUUAAAAUAACUUUUUCCUGAAAAAUUUGAUCAAGUUAACCAUCAAAAUGUAAGUGUGUGGUAUCAUGUUCUUACGCUCGAAUGUAACUGAACAUUGAUGGAUUAUCUUUACUGGGAUCCCCUUUCUUUACGUAUAAAGUAGACUUUGAUUCUUCAAGAGGAACACUUUUCAAUUUUUUUCAAUUCCCACAAACCAGUCCAAAAGCUGAAGCUGUAUCCAAUUAAUGACCAUUUAGAUAUUUACUUAAGUUCGGCGAGAUGUUCGUUAUCUGUCAUAUUUGCCGGUGUAACAGCUAGCUAGACUAACAGUCAUUUACACAAACACAAUUCAUCUUCCCUUCCCUGUUUUGACUCUGUUCCAUUAGUUGACUAUCAAAGCGUAAUAACUGGAGGGCAUAAUGAAUAAAUAGCAUAUGGUACAAAUAAAAUAUUCUAAGUAUGUUACAGUUUGUUAAGCUAAGUUGUUAGACCUUCCAUUAGUUAUCAUAUAUGUAUGUAACUGGUCAAAACAAUACAUAAUUUACCAAAUCAAAAACAUAUUCUAGUUUUUCCACGAACCUGUCCAAAAGCAGAUGCGUUUAUACUAAAAGAAACCCCAACUCUCAGAUAUUUUAAGUCAUCAUAUAUGUAUGUAACUGGUCAACUGUAUGAACUUAAGCUGAAAACUUAUGCCAAGUUGCCUGCUCUUUCUUACUACUGAACUUAAAAUAGAAAGGCAUCUUUCCUUCAAUCCCUUCCCCCUAUAAGGCUCUAAAGUGAUCUUUUCUCCUGGUCAAUUGCAUGAAUUGCGGAGCAGUAAUCUUAAUUUAAUAUUUAUUGCCAAUUUUGUAAAACUCCAAACUUCUUUUCCACGGCUAUGAUAGUGAAACUCAUGGGAAGGAUCAGAAAAGUUGAAAGUUAGUGAUCUAAGAUAUGUCCAAAUUAAGAGGUAUGUAUACAAAAACUGAACAAAUCUUUCUUUCUCAAAGUCAUUAAUUAACAUUUCAGCCAAGUCCACCUUAUAAGUUAAGAUAAUUUUUUCUAGUCAUUAAUGAGCAUUUCGGUCAAGUCCACUGAAGAUAUAAGAGCAAUAACUGGAGGCAAAUAAAAAGUUGAAAAGGCUGAGUUAAAUAAUCGUAUGCUCAUCUUUCUUCACAAGUAGAUUACACAUCUUUCUUCACAACUUUUUUAACAAAUUGAAACAGAAUUAAAGUAGAGGAGGGAAAAUCAAUUGUGGUUUGUGCAUAAUGUAUAUGACUGACUAACUAACUACGAGUUUAGCUGCCUGCCACAUCAGCAUAAUAUAACACAUAAAUAAUAUCAUUCCGCGUCGAGGAUGUCGUCAAGAUCCCCCUCUUGAAAGGAUUCCACUUACCACCUAAAUUCCAAAGCAAGACUUGGUGCUGUAAGUCAAUAAAUAUUAUAUUAUUAAUUAAUUACACACCAUAUUCAACUUCUAUAAAUGGUCAUUAUAUCUCUCUCUCUUCUUGUGAUUUCAUCAUCCAGAAAAGAAAAAGAAAAUGGGUUAUAUCACUCAGCCUUAUCAACUUUUGAUUUGCCUCCAGUUAUUGCUCUUCUAUUCUCAGUGUUCAGCUGCAAUACUUUGCUCUCACGACCAAAGUUCUGCUUUACUCCAAUUUAAGCAGCUCUUUUCCUUUCAAAAAGAUUCCUCAUCCCGUUGUGAAGGAUAUCAACAAUCUCGUCCCAAGAUGAUGUCUUGGAAAGAGGACGCUGAUUGCUGCUCCUGGGAUGGAGUAACAUGUGAUUCGGCGACGGGUCACGUGAUUGGCCUCGACCUCAGUUGCAGUUGGCUUCACGGCAACAUCCCUUCCAACAGUAGCCUUUCCUUGCUUCCUCGCCUGCGAAAGCUCAACCUAGCCUUCAAUGAUUUCAAUUACUCUAAGAUUUCUUCUGGUUUUACUGAUCAAUUUCCGAGUUUGACAGUCCUUAACCUCUCUUUCAGCGAUUUCACGGGGUCAAUUCCUGCCUCACUAGGUAACAAUAUUACACAACUUGCUUAUUUGGAUCUUUCGAAUAACAGUUUUACUGGUCAGAUUCCAUCAUCUUUUUCAAAUCUUCAGCAACUUCGUCAUUUAGAUCUUUGGGAAAAUAAGUUUGUUGGUGAAAUUCCUGCCUCACUAGGUAACAAUUUUACACAACUUGCUUAUUUGGAUCUCUCAUUUAACAGUUUUACUGGUCAGAUUCCAUCAUCUUUUUCAAAUCUCCACCAGCUUCGUCAUUUAGGUCUUUCUUUCAAUAAUUUUGUUGGUAAAAUUCCUUCAUCAUUAGGUAACAAUAUUACACAACUUGCUUAUUUGGAUCUCUCACAUAACAGUUUUGGUGGUCACAUUCCAUCAUCUUUUUCAAAUCUUCAGCAGCUUCAUCAUUUAGAUCUUCAAUCCAAUAAAUUUGUUGGUAAAAUUCCAGAUAUGUUUACCAACCUAACCCACCUUAAUUUUUUAAGCUUGGCAUCAAAUGAACUGAUAGGCUCGAUUCCAAGUUCAUUCUUUGAACUUGUGAAUGUGACUGUGAUCCAUCUUUCUUCUAACAAUUUAAGCGGCACUGUUAAGCUGUACGAUUUUGCAAAGCUCAAAAAUCUUAAAUAUUUUUAUCUUUCUAAUAAUAGUUUAUCAUUGAGCACCAAAUUAACAGUCAACUCGUCUUUCCCUAAUCUUCUGGGGUUGGGUUUAUCGGCUUGCAAUAUAAGUAAGUUUCCAGACAUCUUGAGAACUCAACAUCAGUUAGAGUGGUUGGACCUUUCUAAAAACCAAAUCCGUGGUAGGAUUCCCAGUUGGAUGUACGAUAUUGGAGUACAUACUUUGGAAGGAUUAGAUCUUUCACACAACUUCCUGACAAGCAUAGAACAUCUUCCGUGGAAAAAUCUUAGAAUUCUUUACCUUCAUUCGAACUUACUUCAAGGAUCACUUCUAGAUCUACCACCUCACUUGAAUUACUUUUCAAUUUCCACCAAUAAUUUGAUUGGAGAGAUUCCUUCAUCAUUUUGUAAUUUGAGUUCCAUUCUAUAUUUUAACUUAUCCAACAAUGGCUUGAGUGGACAAAUUCCACAAUGUCUUGGAUACUCUACACUUGAAACUUUGGAUCUACGAACGAACAACUUCCAAGGUAGCAUCCCACAGACAUAUGCAAAGGGCUGCAACUUGACUUAUCUUCGACUGAGUGGCAAUCACUUGGAGGGACCAUUACCACCAUCUUUGAUUAACUGUGUCAAUUUGCAAUUUCUUGAUGUUGGCAAUAACAACUUGAGCGGCCCAAUUCCAGAAUGUCUUGGAAACUCAACACUUGAAGUCUUGGAUAUGAGAAUGAACAAGUUCAGUGGCAGCCUCCCUCAAACAUUUGCAAAAGGUUGUGUUUUGGCAAGUUUUAACCUUAAUGGCAAUCGGUUAGAAGGACCAUUGCCUCCAUCUUUGGUUAAUUGUCGGCAUUUGGAAGUUAUAAAUGUUGGGAAUAAUCAGAUUAAUGAUUCCUUUCCCCACUGGUUAGACGUUCUUCCCGAAUUGCAAGUACUUAUAUUGCGUUCUAAUAGAUUUUGUGGUCCCAUUGGUGAUACCAAAACAAGAGUUCCUUUCCCGAAGUUGCGAAUAAUUGAUCUCUCUUACAAUCGACUCACCGGUGUUUUGCCAAUAUGGUAUCUGAAUGGUUUUAAAGCCAUGAUGCACGGGGAUGACAAUAGUAUUAAAGUCAAUUAUAUGUGGUCGCUGAAUUAUUCUUACUAUGAAUCAAUAUCUCUGACUAUGAAAGGCAAUGACAUACAAAUGGAGAGGAUUUUAACCACUUUUGCAACUAUUGAUUUGUCGAGCAACAAAUUUCAAGGGGAAAUAUCAGUAGUGUUGGGAAAGCUUAAUUCACUCAAAAGUCUCAACAUUUCUCACAACAACCUGACAGGUGGCAUUCCAUCGUCGCUAAGAAAUCUGAUAGAGCUUGAAUCUCUAGACCUCUCUUCAAACAAGCUUACUGGACGUAUCCCAACACAACUGGCAAGUCUCAAUUAUCUUUCGGUGUUGAAUUUUUCGAACAACCAGCUCGAGGGACCCAUACCAAGAGGACCCCAGUUUAAUACAUUUGGAAAUGAUUCCUAUUCUGGUAACUCGGGGCUGUGUGGAUUCCCAUUAUCGAAAAGCUGCAGCAUUGAUGAGGCACCAGAGCCAACAACACCAACAGGAUUUAUCGAAGGAGACGAUGCUUCAAGCUGGUUUGAUUGGAAGCUCGCUAAGUUGGGUUAUGCAUCUGGAGUGGUGAUCGGCUUGUCCAUUGGAUACAUGGCAUUUGCGACUGGAAGGCCACAAUGGUUUGUAAGAAUGAUCGAAAGGAAGCAAUCCACGAAGUUGAGAAGGGUGAUCAGACGAGGCGGAGCAGGUAGAAGAAGUUUGUAGGUGCAUCUCUAAAGGCCCAGGUGAGUAAUUAUUAGUUUGUCUUUUGGAAUUAUUAGCUGGUUUCUACUGUUCUUUGAGUAGAUAGCAUGCUGAUAUUAUCGUAAUCUAGCAAUUGACUUACAAAAACCACCAUCCUAAUUAAUUUCAGAUUAUGUUUAUUAUCUUCAACAUCUAUAGUGAGAAAGAAAAUUUUAACUGAAUUAUUGAUGUGGUUGUUUUCUUCAGGAAUUAUAAACUCCUAGAAGCUAUCAGUGGAAGUCAAAUAAUCCUCCAAGUACUCAAAUUGUUUUUACUUUAAUUUCAAUUUCAUGAAAUUGCUUUUACUUUUAUUUCCAUUUCAUUAGAACAUGUAAUCACAGACGUAUGUUUUGAUGGUAAAAUGAUUUGAAGGAAAUUGUGUGGGGGGAACUCUACACUUAUAUCUUCAAAUUUGGGCGUAGAACGUACUAUAUCAAAGUUUGAGAGCGGAAAACAUUCUUAUUAAGUGGGUGCAUUGCCCUCUUUGAGAAAAUGUAUUAAAUGAAAUCCCACACAUCUGCUAAUGGGAUUGUACAACGUUGACGGCACUCACAUCUGAGGGUUUAAAGUAAUUUUCGUAGAUCUUUUAUUGUAAUAUAUGUAUCUAUAUUUCAAAAGGAAGAAACCACCGUCAUCCAAAUUUAAUUAAGAAAAAUCUUCACUUUUUCAUAUAUCAACUUUUUUUCGUUUUGUAGAAACAAAAAUAAUUAUGCGUAAAAUGAAACCAAACUGCCAUUAAAUUUAGAGGGGUUUUCAUAGCGAUGCCAUACCUUAACAGCAGUCCCCACGUACGGCGCGGCCAAUGAUUCCACUUAUAACAUGUUCUUAAGAUAAUUUGAUUGGGUGUAAAAAGAAAAUGGUUUGAAUAAUUGAAAAAACAUUGGUCCAAAAUCUCUAACCUUUUAUGAUCCUUGUUCAAAUGGCCCAGUACGUGCCACGUCAACAUGUGCAAACUCAUCCACGUCACCAGCCUCAGCGCUCUCGCCACGUCAUCACUCGAUGAUCAUUGGAUUAAGAAAAACAGUUGAAUUGGGUCUCGUCAGUCGUCACAGAGGCCGAGCACAAAAGACAAAGAGAAACCGAAAUGGCGCGAGCUUUGCUUCAUUUGAAUCGCACAGCCACGGCCAUAAUAAUUAUGUUGAUUGAUGUGGUUGGACUUUCGUAUGUUAUUAUUUAAAUCCCCUAAUAUGUUAAAAUUUAAAAAACUGUAAAACUUGUUUAAAGUAACAUAAAUAUAAAAAUUACUCUACUCAAAAUCUCAACCAUAAAUUAUAUAAAUAACUAAAUAUAAAUACAAAGUUAAAAACCAUGUCUCAUUCCUUUAAAAAACACACAUUGUGGAAUUGGGCUGCUCAAGUUGUUAUUCCUGAAAUUAAUAAACAUUAAACCGAUACAAUUAACUAAAUAUGGUGACAAUGGUCCUUCUAGGCGAUUGUCAUUCAGCGUAAGCAUACAAAUUGCAACCUUUUUGCAUAUGAUUGUGGGAUUCUACCACGAAGAUUGUUCAUUCUAACAUCUAAGCACCCCACUGUAAAGUUUCCAAGGCACGGCUGAAGCUAUUAUUGGACAUAGAGAUGGCCACUCGCCAAUGCGAGUAUGUUUUAGAAGGGCACGUAGCAUGGUAUGCACACAAAUUAACAAACUAGAUAGGGCUGAGAAUUUUAAGUAUGUGGUCCUUAAAAUCAUGUCCUUCUCUAAAUGCAACAAUGGAAAAUAUCAAAUAAUCGUGACUCAAUUAAUUGUAGCAAUAAUCAUGUAGGAGAUGAUAUGAGCUUAAUUUGGGUGUACAUCUUUGGUUUUAUAAGUUGAAUUUGAAUGUGUAAUAUUAUUGUUCUGAAACUCAAUAAGAUAAUUGAUUGGGUGUAAAAAGAAAAUGGAUUGAAUAAUUGAAAUAACUUAAGUCCAAAAUCUCUGACCUUACAUGAUCCUUGUUCAAAUGACCCAGUACGUGCCACGUCUACAUGUGAAAACUCAUCCACGUCACCAGCCUCAAUAUUAUCGCCACGUCAUCACUCAACAGGUUACCAGUGACGAUAAUUUGGAUAAGAAAAAUUGUUGAAUUGAGAGCCUUCACUCUUCACAGAGAAACCAAAAAAGCGCGAGCUUUGCUUCACUUGAAUAGCACAGCCAUGGCCUUAGUGGCCAGGGCUAAAGCCUACAAGUGCUACUACAGAGACAGUUCUUGAUGGAGCUCAGUUUCAAAUGAAGAACCAAAACACCCGCGUUUUGGUACUUGGAGUUACGGGUCGGGUCGUUGGAUCCACUGCUGUUUCUCUCUACAAAUUCUGCACCAACCUUCAUAUUGUAGUUGGCUCUCGAAACAGGUCAAAUCAUCAAUGUCCUUUUCUUUCUUCUGUUUGGUUUCCGAAAAAAUGCAAGAAAUAAAGGAGGGAAAUUUUUAAAGCUUUGUUAUUUUCUGUUAUUUUUAUGUUUACUAUGUUUCUUUGGUUCUUUUAAAAUUUAAAUUCAAGGUGAUGGCUAAGGGUAAACUGCAAUGCUUUUACAUGAUUCCGAAAGCACAUUUCUAAACAGCCACUCAACUACAAGCGAUUGUCAUGUCCUGCAAUUGUAGAUUAAGGCUACAUUAGGUAGUGGUAUUGUGCGGUCGAGGCUUUUUAAGGCACAUCUACUUUUAAAUGAGAGCUACUGUGAAAUCAAAGUUUUAGUUAUAAAAUAAAAGUUUAUAGUGUUUGGUAAUUUUUUUAAAUAAUAAUUUUGAUAAAAAUAGUAAACCUAACAUAGGUUAGGCAUUUGUGGAUAAAUUUGCUUUAAUUGUCAAACUGUGGCUAUACUAUUUACUAAAUAUUUUAGAGUGCCUAAACAAGCCAUUAUAAAAUUACCAAUUAUACAAAAAAUUGUAAUUCUCUCACUUUUUGGUUUUCAUAAGCAUUCGAAAGGCAAUCAUAUCUUUUUCUUUUUUUUUAUUGAUAUGCUUUGACCACGGUAUGUUAUUAUUUUAGAAUGUUGUCAAACAUGUUAGUUCUUGGAUGGAACUAUAGAGUUGUGAAUUCAAAUAGUUAUGGCUGGAAUGUUUCCUAAUUUAGAGUGUUGCUGAGAAAAUUCUGCAUACUGGCAGGGAAAAAAGUGCCACAAUGGUCUCUACACUGAGGAAGAAUUCUGCAUUUGCUGAAGUUAACGUUGACAAUGAAGGCUCAUUAUUAAUGGCUUUAAUGUUGUGUUUACUUUCUGAAGUGGGAGUAAGGAGUGUGGAUUCCUCCCACUCUAAUGUUCACUUCAACAUUUUAAGGUAGGAUGGGGAGUGGGAGUGGGACUCCAAUGUUCCGCUCCCACCUCUUCCUUUUCUACCCUCUUUUUAUUAAAUUUAAUAUAAUUAUAUUUAAUAAAUUAAUUCCACUCCCACCUCUUCCUUUUCUACCCUCUUUUUAUUAUAUUUAAUAUAAUUAUAUUUAAUAAAUUAAAAUAAAUAAUAUUAUAUUUAUUUAAAUAAUAUUAUUAUAUUUAACUAAAUAAUAAUUUGUAUUGAUUCUAAGUUAAAAUUACUUAAAAAUAAUAUUAUUAUAUUAAUAGAGAAUUAAUAAUAUUACUAUAAACUAUCUUUAUCUGAAAAUAUAAUACUAUUAUAUUUAUUUAAAAAUAAUAGUAUUAUAUUUAUUUAAUAUUAAUAAUUAAUAGUAAUAAAUAGUUUAUUCUAAGAAAAUAUUAAUUUCGUACUAUCUUAAUAGUAAAAAUGUUUUAUUUAUAUUGCCCUUAUCAAUAAUUUUUAAUUUACAUACUUAAAAUUAAAAUUAAUAAAACAAUGUGAUGUACAGAAUUAAGAAUAUUAAGAAUUAUUAUAAUUUUACAAAUAUAAUAAAAUAAAUAUUUACUCAUCAAAUAUAUAUUGUUAAUAACUUUGUAAUUAAAAACUAUAAUUCUUUAAAUAAAGGUAAAAUUAUAAUUUGAAACUAUUUACUCCCAAUUCAAGAUAAAGUAAACACAUAAAUUAGAUUCUUAUUUCCAUUUCAUACUUCCAUUCUGAUGUAAGUAAACAACAUGCUCUCACUCCUACUUUACACUCUCAAUCCUAAAAUUUCCACUUUUCAGAAUUCUUACUUCAAUCUAAAAUGUAAACACUACCUAAGAAGUGUGAUCAUUCCUCUCGUACUAGAUGUAUCUUCUGUUACUCCGCAUCAAUAAUUAUUUUUCUUCUAGGGUCGUGGUAAAGGAAUUUUUUCAGGACAGAUAUUUCGUUAUUGACAAUAUUUUAAUGAUGUUUUAGUCUAUAGUUGAAAUGCUGCAACUUUGCUUCUGCAGAUGUGGAUCUUGUGGUUCAUGCAGCAGAGCCUUUUCAAGAGGCACCGAAAUGCACUGUAUUGGAAUUUGCCAUGGAAACCAAGGUGAGGAAAGGUAAAUGUUGUGUUUGAUUCUCUCUUUUCCAAGUCCAGUUUUCUACGUUUUAUAUAUGUGAUGAUUGAAGUAUGUAUACAACUUUACUAUGUAACCGAGAUGUCAUCUUAUGUGUUCUUUUUGUGUCUCCUAACAGACAGCAUACAUUGAUGUUUGUGACGAUACCAGCAACUCUCAGCCCGCAAAGUCCUUCGAGGUUAAAGCAAUAACUGCAAACAUUCCAGCCGUAACUUCUGAAGGAAUCUAUCCAGGAGUAAGCAAUGGUGAUUUUAUGAACAUUCUUGUCCUGCAAUCUGCACUUCUACUGCAGAAAAUUAAAUAUAUGAUGUGAAGUGAAGAGUAUGGAUGGAUAGAGCACAAAUUCUGCAAUUGAAACAUGUAAAGCCUACAAAUUCUUGCUUUAGAGCUAAAACAUCAUUGUUGGUGAACCCAUAGGCCUGGCUCCAAAGCUCUUAUAUAUUAUGGACAGGAUCCAGCGUGCUUGUGUUCAUAUACAUGAUUUUUGCCACCGGAAGACCUCAGUGUUUUGUAAAGAUGAUUGAACGGAAGCAAUCUAAGAAGGUCACGAGGAGGGUGCAUCCACUGCUCCAAGCUAUUUGUAGGUUGCACGCUGAUUUUGAUAUAUUCUGAACUACUAUUUGAACUGCAUAAUAAUGUGACGUGUUUUUUGUACAGGAAUUUUAGACUCAUGGAAGGUAGCAUUGGAAGUGAAUCAAUCCUCCUGGUGCCAAAUUUGCCUUGCUUUAUUUCCAUAUCUUUAUUGGUAAUUAAAUUUAUAAAAUAUUUGAGGGAAAAAAUGAUUCGAAAAAUUAUUGAUGUGGGAAAUGGCGUGGGCUGACUUUGAUUUAGUGCAUCUCUGGGCUAUGAAAUGUUGAAUUUGGGCGUACUUGGAAGCCUGCAACAAGAUGAACAACAUUCACUGUCAUUUAGGAAAUUACCCAUGAGACUAUUGACAAAUUUCAAUGUUUCUGGACUAAAUAUCGCAUUUCAAGUUACUUAAUUUCGAGCACUUUAGGAAUCUUCUAUGAUUUUAUUUUUAUUUUUAUUUUAUAAGAAGUUCAUUUGUUACUUCAGUGUUAUAUCUUUUUCUUACUCUAAUUUCCAGUAUUUUUCUAAUAAUGGUUGGAAUCUGCUGUGUUCAUAGAUUAGGCAUUAACAGGCUAUAAAACCUCAAGGCUAAACAAUUUUUAUCAAUUAAACAUAUUAUUCGGAAACUUUAUUUCUUCUUUUCGUCUCACUUUAGAAAUAUUUAUAAGCCCAACGAAUUUGCCCGUUUAACAAAUUGUUCUUUGUAUGCGCCAUGGGGAAAAUCAAAUAAUAUUUAUAGGCUAACUUCAAUGCCUUCUUGCAUAUAAUUGUAAGAUUUGGGCAUUUAAUAUGUCAUUUGAAGUACGCAAUGAGAUGGAUAAAAAUCUUUUCCUUCUCGUGAUGUAUGCGAGACUUUUUGCCAAAUUCCAAUGCCUUCUUGCAUUAAAAGUGGGACACAUUAUUUUGUAUUAAAACGAAUUUGCCAGUUUAACACAUUGUACUAAUCAAAUAACUUUAUUUGAUUCGCUAUUCGAUCAUAAGGGAUGUAGGUGUUAUAACAUAUAUAUGGAUACAGUCUAUUCCUCUACCUUAUAUAAAACAAUAAUAACACCAACUGGAGUCUAGGCGGCUGCCACAUCACCAUGUACGACAGACAACUAACAUUUUUCUUAUCUAUAUAUCGUUUGAGCUUUAAUUUGGACUGGUUCAUGGAAAUUGAAUAAUCAAAGUCUACUAAAGACGUCAAGAAAGGAAACGAGUAAAAUACAAACAUAGUCUAUCAAUGUUUAAUGCUUAAUGUAACGUUACGUGUUGGCUGUAUUAAUAGAAAUUCUCCGCAUCUGCCAAUAGGCUCGUAGCCCCUUGACAACACUCAUGCUCUCAAAUCUUGAGAGCAAUUAAUUCGUGGGACUCACUUUUUUCUGUCAGUAUAAUUAGAUAUGGGUAGAUUUUUUCCACUAAUAUAAAUAGAGCAUAUAUCCCUAACAAAUUUACGAAAUUAUCCAUCUGACUUUUAGGAAAUUAUACCAUUUCAGGACCCAAAAUUGCAUUUGAAUUUAUUUUAAAUUACAGCGCUGAGGACCAACAAAGUGUUGGCUCCACUGGCAAUGGAGUCCCCUUAAGUGGCUUGACUGGGUUUGCUCCCCAGUUCGAGUCGCAGGGAAGUCGCCUUUGUUGGGAGAACAUGUGCCUCCCGGUUCGAGCGGGGACUUCUAGUCUGGGUUGUGGUACGGGCUUAAAGGUGUCUCCCAUAGUUGGGGCCCUCCCCAGGAUACCUCGUGAUUAUAUCAAAAAAAAAAUUACAGCGCUGAGGAAACUUCUAAGAUUUGUACUUUUAUUUUCAUAACAAAUUGUUAAGCAACUUCCGUUUGUUGCGUUUUUAAUUAAUUUCAAUUUAAUCCUUAAUCUUCUCUGAAUUUCUUUUCUUUUUUUUCAGCUUAGGAGAGCAUAUUAACGCCUACAUAAAAGAAGCUAUAUACCACUGUAAAUAGAGUACUAUUAGUACAAAAUUAAUUCAAACUAGUGAAAAAGAUCACAAAUUUAUAAAGCCUUACUGUGGAAUGCUCAAUGUUGACUUAGGAAAAGGGUUUAAGAUCUAUAUUGAGAAUUGAUCAAGCAAUUUCAGCAUAGAGAUUACACACAUAUAUAGUAAACAAUUAAGAGUAAAUGGAAGGUUGAAUUUUACAAAACUAGCGACAAAUGCACCAAUAAACUAGACUUGGUGCUCUGACUCUAAAGGUGUUCUAUUUAAUUAGAUUCCCCUGUAGUGGUGUGAUUAAAAGAGAUGGAUAGAAAAGGUUAUUUUAACUUAAGAGGUGGACUUGACUAAAGUGUUCAUUAAUGACAUGACGUUGAGAAAGAAAGACUUAUUCUCUACAUACCUCUUAAUUUGGGCAAUCCUACAUCAGUAACUUUCAACUUUUUUUUAUUCUUCCCAUGGGUUUCAUUAUCAUAAUUGUGGAAAAAAAGUUGUUGUUUGGAGUUUUGCAAAAUUAGCCAUAAGUUCAUGCAUCAACUAGAUUCCAAAACAAUAUCAUCAGGCUCAGUAUAACAAAGGACUUGGUGCAUACUCUAAGUCCAAAUGAAUUAUAAUUAAUUAGAUUAUUUCAUCCUCAAUUUUAAACGUUAGUAUUGAUCAAUCUUAAAAGUAGAUUACCCAUAUUAACUUGCAGUAAACUAAUUAAGAAGUAAAUGGAUGGUCGAACAACCUGCUUAACAAAUCGAAACAGAGGAGGGAAAAAUAUGAGUCUAGCUGGCUGUUACAUCUCUUUUUACAUACAUAAAUAAAUAUCAAAAUUAUUAUUAAUUGGAUGCAGCUUCAGCUUUGGUGCUGGUUUGUGAAAAUUGGAAAAACUGGAAAAUUGAUAGCUCUUUCUCCUUUUGAAGAAUCAAAGUCUACUUUAAAUAAUAAUCCCCAUCAAUAUUUAAUGCUUGUUAUUGACUUUAAACCAGCGGCCGCUUUCAGAAAGAAAGACUUCAAUCGAAAAGUAAAUAGAUUCCCUCCUUUACUUCCACUUCAUGAGUUACAACUAACCAUUUCACUUCUAUAUAUGGUAAUUUCUCUUCUUGGGAUUUCAUCAGGAGAAAAAAAGGAAAAAAAGAAAAGAAAAGAAAAGAAAAUGGGAUAAUAUCACUCAGCCUUAUCAACUUUUGAUUUGCCUGCAGUUAUUGUUCUUGUAUUAACGAGGCUAUGUAUCAUUCAAUUAACUAAACACAUUUUGGUGAACAUACAACUGAAAUCAUUUUCACACAAUAACGUAGCAAAAAGCUACUACAUAUCACAAUGUUGACCACUGGGCUAAUCAAGCAUUUACCUUUCCUAAUACAAUUUAUCACAAAACGAUUAUCCCUUUUCAUAUUUUAAGUUCAGUAGUAAGAAAACAGUGUCCGUUUCAUAUUUUCAGUUAUUGCUCAAUCCCUUUACAAAAAAGUAUGUACAUUUACAAGGGAUAGAAGAUUUUGGUUUGACUUUGAUAUGACCAUAAAUACUAUUGAAAUUACAAGCUUUAGAAGUUCACAAAAUAAAUAUUGUAAAUUUAAGGGGGCUAAAUCAUAAGCUUUACAAAUAAGUGGAUUCAAUUUUAGUUUGUACCUUUAUCAGUUAAUCUAAUUUUCCAAUUUUCAAACCAAAAUUUAGUUUUUAAUUUUUUGAUUAAAUUUCUUUAGAAAAUACUCAACUAAAUACUAUUUAUAGUUAAAUAUUAGUUUGAAUGAACACAUUCAUAGAUAAUUGUGUAAGCAAUUUAUUUGGUUAAUUAAUGGUUGUAAUCUUUAAAAAUGAGAAUUACUAAUUUUAAAAAAUUCCAAUGGUUACUGUAUUAAAAGUAUGUUUGGAACAUAGCAUUGCAUAGUAUUAUAAUACUAUUCAUAUUAAUUUAUCGCUAACCUAUGUUUGGUAAUUUUAGAAGCCACAUUGUGGUGCAUGUGCACCAGAAUGUGCCAACUGUUGCCUCAAUUGAGAUGUUGAACAUAUUCUAAUUAUCAUUUAAUAAUAAAUAAAAUAAAAUAGAAGUUAAAUUAUAAUGUUUUUAUUUAAUAACACAAUAUUACAUUAUAUUUAUACAUUAGUAAUUAAUAUAAAAUAAUAAUUUAAUAACUAUUUUAAUAUAAUUAUUGGUAAAGUAAUAAUAAAUCUAAAUAAUACUAAUUUAAUAUUAGUACAAAAUUAACAAAGUACAAUUUAACGCUAAAUAUUAUACAAUAUUAUUAUAAUACAAUUCUAAUUCAAUAUCUCAUAAAGUGCAUUAAAAGACAUGAUACGGUAUAAGUGAAGAGUAAUGGAUUUUAGUUUGCAUUAACGUAUGCCCAUUACUAUAAACCAAUGGCCCAACACUUGGCAUGUCAAAGACAAAAACUAUCCAUACUGGCGCCACAUCAUCACUCAUUGUAAACUGAAAAGAAAAUUUUUGAUAAGAAAACAGUUGAAUAAUUGAAUUUCGAGUCUUUGGUGGACAUUAUCCUUUUUAUAGUAAAUAUAUCUUUGAGUUAAACAGUUACUAAAACAUUGGGGCUAAUUUUUCAUUUAACUACAAAAUUACUUUUAUUGGAACCCAUAAAACAAUUUUUAAGAGGUUAAUUAGUUAUGUCACAUCUUCAACUAUUGUCAAAUUAUUAUUCGAGUUCAUCAUUUAAGUGGUAAAUGCGUUACUUAAAACAUUUCAAAUGAUAUAUUAAACAAAUAUUUUGAGGAACAAGGCUCAUUAUGUCUCCUCUCAUUAGUUGUAUUUUUAAUUUCUUUUUAAAAAAUUCUCUCAUAUUCAAUUAAAAAAAAUCAGCCACUCAAAAAAAAAAAAAAAUACUUAGCUUCGCGGCUGAAUGGGGCUAAAUUAUGUAUUGUUUGACUAGCAAAACUCUUACCACAUCGGCUGCCCACGUCAUAUGUGCCCACUAAGUUUAUUAUGGUGAAGUCCAUGUCAACAUGUCAAAACUCGGCCACGUCAUCAACUACGUCAUCUCUCAACUAGUUAUAACGGAUGAUAACUUGGAUGAGCAAAACAAUUGAAUUGAGUCUCUUCACAAAAGUAGGACCAUAAUUAUAACUAAUUUAUAAAAUUUAUAUUACUUUAUUUGCAAUAUCGUUUUUAAUUAUGUCUAUAUUAGUAUGAAUCUUAAACUCAAGUUUUGGAUUAAUAGAAUCUAGUAUUAUUAAAGUCCUUUGGGAUAGACUAAUAAUAACUUAAUAUUAAAAAUAAUUUUCAUUAUUUAUGUUACCUUAUUAAUUAUACUUCUUGUUUUAUUUUAUUCCUAUCAGAAGCUAUUUAUUUAUUAUUUUUAUUUUAUUACUAUAUUUAUAUUUAUUUAGGUUAUUAUAAUCAAAGGUUAUAAUAGUUAUUUAUAAGGAGGGUCUAUGUGACCACCUAAGCAAACCUUAGGGCCGUGGUUACGGGGGUGGUCCUUUUUCCCUAAGCAAUAAUGUAUGAAAUGACCUUGAAUGUACUUAAAUCAUAUGCAACCUAUUUACUAUCUCUCUUUGAGAGUUUUUUUUUUUAUUGAAUAUUAGAUAUUGAGAGACUUAAUCAGAUGCGAUGAGCAACAUGUCACCUAAUUAUAGACUGGUGUGUUAAAAGCUUGGUCAAUUAUCAAGUAACACGUGGUAUCACGCACAAUAACAUACACGAUGAUGCACAUCUGAUCAUUCUUUUUGGAUAUCAAUUGAUCUAAGCCUACAAGUUCAACGUAUAGAGUACACGUAUUUACAGUAGAAUACAAAGUGUGUCAACUUGCUUAAUAAACUAAAACAUAAUCAAAAUAGAGGAGGGAAAAUGAACAGUGUGUCUAUGUAUGUGUAAUUGGAGUUUGGAUCUUACGGACUUAGUCGACUAACUUUCAAAUAACUUCAUUUGAUUCGCCAUUGGAUGAUAAAGGAGGUAUGUGUUAUAACAUGUAUAACUUCAGAUUUCGAAUUUCAACCCCAUUCCUAUGGAUGUGGAGAAAUUUGAAUAGUCAUAAAAUUAUAAAUGGAUGUGGAGAAAAUUGUAGUGAAGUAAUUAAGAAGUAAAUGGAAGGUCUAACAGCUUGCUAAGAAGCUGAAAUAGAAUCAAAACAGAGAAGGGAAAAUGAAUUUUGUCUGUGUAAAGUGUCCGUUUAAUGUCAGUUUGAACCAUGAGUUUCAUAGCCGUGGAAAAGAAAUUGAAGUAGUUUGGAAUUUUACUAAAUUGACCACAAAUUCAUGCACCUACUAGAUUCCAAAACCAUAUCGUGAGGCUCCCAGUAUAACAAGACUUGGUGCAUGCUCUAAGCCUAAAUGAAUUACAAUUAAUUAAGAUACUCCUCCUCAAAAGAUAGUAUUGAUGAAGCUUACAGUUAGAUUACACAUAUUAAUUUGUAGUCCACUAAUGGAAGGUCUAACAACUUAGCUUAACAAACUGUAACAGAGUCAAAACAGGGGAGGGAAGAUGAAUUGUGUUUGUGUAAAUGACUGUUAGUCUAGCUAGCUGUUACACCGGCAAAUAUGACAGAUAACGAACAUCUCGCCGAACUUAAGUAAAUAUCUAAAUGGUUAUUAAUUGGAUACAGCUUCAGCUUUUGGACUGGUUUGUGGAAAUUGAAAAAAUUUGAAAAGUGUUCCUCUUGAAGAAUCAAAGUCUACUUUAUACGUAAAGAAAGGGGAUCCCAGUAAAGAUAAUCCAUCAAUGUUCAGUGGAAUAAUUAAAAGUGAUUUUUUAAUUAUUCCACUGCCCAACAUGAGAUUCCAAAGCAAGACUUGGUUCCCUAAGUCAAUAAGUAUCGAGGGGUCCACACGCAUUUCCGCGAGGCAUUAAAUAUAUUUUAAUUAUAAUUAUAAUAAAUAAAAUAUAAAAUAAGUUAUAUUAUAAUAUUACACAAAUAGAUUACACAUAUUAUUCCUCCUCAUCUUUCUUAACAAGUAGAUUACACAUAUAUAUUAUCAAGAAGUAAAUGGAAGGCCGAACAACUUUUUUAACAAACUGAAACAGAAUUAAUGCAGAGGAGGGAAAAUCAAUUGUGCUUUGUGCAUAAUGUAUAUGACUGACUAACUAACUAAAUUAAUGGUGUUGGAUUAAUAGAUGGGAAGACGUUCAAGAAGCCACGUUGUCCGUACGAGAAGGAGCGUUUAGAUGCCGAGUUGAGGCUGGUGGGAAGUUUCGGGCUGCGGUGCAAGAGGGAGCUGUGGAGGGUUCAGUAUGCAUUGAGUCGGAUUCGCAACGCGGCGAGGGAUCUUCUCACUCUGGACGAGAAGGACCCUCGCCGCAUCUUCGAAGGCCAGGCCCUCCUUCGCAGGAUGUUUAGGUACGGCCUUUUGGAGGCGACUCAGCAUAAAUAACACAUAACUAAUAUCAUUCCGCGUCGAGCACGUCGUCAAGAUCUCCCUCUUGAAAGGAUUCCACUUACCACCUAAAUUCCAAAGCAAGAAGACUUGGUGCUGUAAGCCAAUAAAUAUUAUAUUAUUAAUUAAUUACACACCAUAUUCAACUUCUAUAAAUAGUCAUUAUAUCUCUCUCUCUUCUUGUGAUUUCAUCAUCCAGAAAAGAAAAAGAAAAAGAAAAUGGGUUAUAUCACUCAGCCUUAUCAACUUUUUAUUUGCCUCCAGUUAUUCCUCUUCUAUUCUCAGUGUUCAGCAAUACUUUGCUCUCACCACCAAAGUUCUGCUUUACUCCAAUUUAAGCAGCUCUUUUCCUUUGAAAAAGAUUGUUCAUCCGGUUGUGAUAUAUUUCAACAAAUAUCUCGUCCAAAGAUGAUGUCUUGGAAAGAGGACGCUGAUUGCUGCUCCUGGGAUGGAGUAACAUGUGAUUCGGUGACGGGUCACGUGAUUGGCCUCGACCUCAGUUGCAGUUGGCUUCACGGCAACAUCCCUUCCAACAGUAGCCUUUCCUUGCUUCCUCGCCUGCGAAAGCUCAACCUAGCCUUCAAUGAUUUCAAUUUCUCUAAAAUUUCUUCUGGUUUUACUAUUCAAUUUCCAAGUUUGACACUCCUUAACCUCUCUUUCAGCAAUUUCACGGGGCCAAUUCCUGCAUCACUAAGUAACAAUAUUACACAGCUUGCUUAUUUGGAUCUCUCAUCUAACAGUUUUAGUGGUCACAUUCCAUCAUCUUUUUCAAAUCUGCAGCAGCUUCGUCAUUUAGAUCUUCGGGGCAAUAACUUUGUUGGUGAAAUUCCUGCGUCAUUAGGUAACAAUAUCACACAGCUUGCUUAUUUGGAUCUAUCAUUUAACAGUUUUAGCGGUCAGCUUCCAUCGUCUUUUUCAAAUCUUCAGCAGCUUCGUCAUUUAGAUCUUCAGGACAAUAACUUUGUUGGUGAAAUUCUUGUGUCAUUAGGUAACAAUAUUACACAGCUUGCUUAUUUGGAUCUAUCAUUUAACAGUUUUAGUGGUCACAUUCCAUCAUCUUUUUCAAAUCUUCAGCAGCUUCGUGAUUUAGGUCUUGGGGGCAAUAAAUUUGUUGGUCAAAUUCCGGAUAUGUUUACCAACCUAACCCAACUUUCUUCUUUAAACUUGGCAGAUAAUCAACUGAUUGGCUCGAUUCCAAGUUCAAUCUUUGAACUUGUUAAUUUGACUGAGAUCUAUCUUUCUUUUAACAAUUUCAGUGGCAGCGUUGAGCUUUACGAUUUUGCAAAGUUCAAAAAUCUUAAAUAUCUUAUUCUUUCUAAUAUUAGUUUAUCAGUUAGCACCAAAUUAACAGUCAACUCGUCUUUCCCUAAUCUUUGGGUGUUGGGUUUAUCGGCUUGCAAUAUAAGUGAGUUUCCAGACAUCCUGAAAACUCAACAUCAGUUAGACUGGUUGGACCUUUCUGAAAACCAAAUCCGUGGUAGGAUUCCCAGUUGGAUGUGGGAUAUAGGAGUACAUACUUUGUUUCGCCUAGAUCUUUCACGAAACUUCCUGACAAGCAUAGACCAUCUUCCGUGGAAAAAUCUCGAAUUUCUUACCCUUGAUUCGAACCUACUUCAAGGAUCACUUCCAGAUCUACCACCUCACAUGGUACAGCUUUCAAUUUCCAACAAUAGUUUGACCGGAGAGAUUCCUUCAUCAUUUUGUAAUUUGAGUUCCAUUCAAUAUCUUUACUUAUUCAACAAUAGCUUGAGUGGACAAAUUCCACAGUGUCUUGGAAACUCUACACUUGAAACUUUAGAUCUCGGAAUGAACAACUUCCAAGGUAGCAUCCCACAGACAUAUGCAAAGGGCUGCAACUUGACUUAUCUUCGGCUGAGUGGCAAUCACUUGGAGGGACCAUUACCGCCAUCUUUGAUUAACUGUGUCAAUUUGCAAGUUCUUGAUGUUGGGAAUAACAACUUGAGCGGCCCAAUUCCAGAAUGUCUUGGAAACUCAACACGUUUGUCAUUUCUUGAUGUUGGGAAUAACAACUUGAGCGGCCCAAUUCCAGAAUGUCUUGGAAACUCAACAAGUUUGUCUUUUCUUGAUGUUGGGAAUAACAGCUUGAGCGGCCCAAUUCCGGAAUAUCUUGGAAACUCAACACUUGAAGUCUUGGAUAUGAGAAUGAACAAGUUCAGCGGCAGCCUCCCUCAAACAUUUGGAAAAAGUUGUGUUUUGGUAAGUCUUAAACUUAAUGGAAAUCGGUUGGAAGGACCAUUGCCUCCAUCUUUGGUUAAUUGUCGACAUUUAGAAGUUAUAGAUGUUGGGAACAAUCAGAUUAAUGAGACCUUUCCCCACUGGUUAGACGUUCUUCCCGAAUUGCAUGUACUUACAUUGCGUUCUAAUAGAUUUCGCGGUCCCAUUGGUGAUACCGAAACAAGAGUUCCUUUCCCCAAGUUGCGAAUAAUUGAUCUCUCUUACAAUCGAUUCACCGGUAUUUUGCCAAUAUGGUAUCUGAAUGGUUUUAAAGCCAUGAUGCACGGGGAUGUCAAUAGUAUUGAAGUCAAUUAUAUGAGGUCGUUGAAUUAUUCUUACUAUGAAUCAAUAUCUCUGACUAUGAAAGGCAAUGACAUACAAAUGGAGAGGAUUUUAACCACUUUUGCAACUAUUGAUUUGUCGAGCAACAGAUUUCAAGGGGAAAUAUCAGAAGUGUUGGGAAAGCUUAAUUCACUCAAAAGUCUUAACAUUUCUCACAACAACCUGACAGGUGGUAUUCCAUCGUCGCUAAGAAAUCUAACAGAGCUUGAAUCUCUAGACCUCUCUUCAAACAAGCUUGCUGGACGUAUCCCAACACAACUGGCGAGUCUCAAUUAUCUUUCGGUGUUGAAUCUUUCGAACAACCAGCUCGAGGGACCCAUACCAGGAGGACCCCAAUUUAAUACAUUUGGAAUUGAUUCCUAUUCUGGUAACUUGGGGCUGUGUGGAUUCCCAUUAUCAAAAAGCUGCAGGAUUGAUGAGGCACCAGAACCAACAACACCAACAGGAUUUAUCGAAGGAGACGACGCUUCAAGCUGGUUUGAUUGGAAGCUCGCUAUGUUGGGUUACGCAUCUGGAGUGGUGAUCGGCUUGUCCAUCGGAUACAUGGCAUUUGUGACUGGAAGGCCACAAUGGUUUGUAAGAAUGAUCGAAAGGAAGCAAUCCAGGAAGCUGAGAAGGGUGAUCAGUCGAGGCAGAGCUGGUAGAAGAAGUUUGUUGGUGCAUCUCUAAAGGCCCAGGUGAGUAAUUAUUAGUUUGUCUUUUGGAAUUAUAAGCUGGUUUCUACUGUUCUUUAAGUAGAUAGCAUGCUGAUAUUAUCGUAAUCUAACAGUUGACUUGCAAAAAUCACAAUCCUAAUUAAUUUCAAGUUAUGCUUAUUAUCAACAUCUAUAGUGAGAAACAAAAUGAGGAUAAUGUAUAAGAAAGAAAAUUUUAACUGAAUUAUUGAUGCGAUUGUUUUUACUUUUAUUGCCAUUUCAUUAGAACAUGUAAUCACGGACGUAUGUUUUGAUGGUAAAAUGAUUUGAAGUAAUAUUGUUGCAGGAAAUUGUGCGGGGGUAACUUUGGUUUGUAAUCAUGUACUUCAAAUUUGGGCGUAGAACAUGUUAUUUCAAAGUUUGUGAGCAGACAACGUUGUUUGCCUUUGGCUCAGUGAUAUCAAUUUAAAAACUCAGAGCUUAAUUAAUAACUCUAUUAAGUGUGUGCAUUGCCCUUCUUGGAUUGACAGCACUCAUCCCACACAUCUUCCCAUGCAAGGAUUUCCACUCAUCAAUUAGCAAAAAUUGAAAAACAUUAUAAUUAAAUGUGUGUGUGUACGUAUAUGAUUCAGCAGAGUACUCCUAGUCUUAAGUUGAACAUCAAUAAUUAAUUGAAAAACAUUAUAAGUAGAUGAGAUUACAAAUAUGAUCAAUGUUUAAUAAAAUCCACCAUCAAAAAAUGAAAAAGUCCUAAUUAAUGACUUUCAUUUUUUGAUCCUUCCAAUGAGUGCACAUAUAGCCGUGGAAAAGAAGCUAAAGUAUAUAGUCUGCAAUUUUACAAAACUGGCGACAAAUCAAUGCACCAACUAGACUCCAAAACAAGAUGACGAGUUACAUUUAGUAACAAGACUUGGUGCUGUAAGUCUAAAAGUAUUAUAUUUAUUAUUACUAUUUUUUUUAAAAGUGUUGUAUUUAAUUAGAUUCCCCUGUUUUGGUGUGAGUUAAGGAGAUGGCUACGAUAAGUUUUUUAUUCUCGUAAGGGGGACUUGAAUAAAGUGCUCAUUAUUAAUGGCUUUGAGAAAGAAAGACUUGUUCUAUAUAUCCCUCUUAAUUUGAACAAUCUUUCUUCAGCAACUUCCAACCUUUUUUUAUGCUUGCCAUGGGUUUCGUAGCUGUGGAAAAGAAGUUAAAGUAGUUUGGAAUUUUAUUAAAUUGGCCACAAAUUCAUGCAACUUUCAACCUUUUUUAUGGAUUCCAUUGGUUUCAUAGCAUGGAAAAGACGACAGACAACUAACAUUUCUCUUAUCUAUAUAUCGUAAGUGUUAUAACAUAUAUAUGGAUACCGUUUAUUCCUGUAACUUGUAUAAAACAAUAAUAACAACAACUGGAAUCUAGGCGGCUGCCACAUCACCAUGUAUGACAGACAGCCACAUCACCAUAUAUCAUUUGACCUUUAAUUUGGACUGGUUAGUGGAAAUUAGAAAAACUCGAAUAAUCAAAGUCUACUAAAGACGACAAGAAAGGAAACGAGUAAAAUACAAACAUAGUCUAUCAAUGCUUAUGCUUAAUGUGACGUUGCGUCUUGGCUGUAUUAAUAGAAAUCCUCCUCAUCUGCCAAUAGGCUCGCACCCUGUUGACAGCACUCAUGCUCUCAAAUCUUGAGAGCAAUUAAUUCGUGGGACUCACUUUUUUAUAUCCAUAUAAAUAGAGCAUAUAUCCCUCAAAAAUUUAUGAAAUUAUCCAUCCGACUUUUAAAUUAUACCAUCUCAGAGCUGAUGAGUGACAAGAUGAACAACGUUACUCAUUGCCUUUGAAUAUCCAUCCGACUUUUAGGAAAUUAUACCAUUUCAAGACCCAAAAUUGCAUUUGAAUUUAUUUUAAAUUACAGCCCUGAGGAAACUUCUAAGAUUUGUACUUUUAUUUUCAUAACAAAAUCCUAAGCUACUUCCGUUUGUUGCGUUUUUAAUUAAUUUCAGUUUACACCUUAAUCUUCUCUUAAUUUCUUUUCUUUUUUUUCAAACUCGCCAAUUGCGUUGCAAUGAUGCAAUCAACCCAAUAAGCUUGUUUGACCAGAGGUCUAAAGAUUCAAGUAAUGUUAGAUUUUCCAACAAUAAUGGAGCGCCACCUAUCAAGUUGUUGUGAGACAUUUGAGUGAAUUAAACUUUCCCACUAUUUACGGAAUUUCCCCUUGAAAUUGAUUGCUCAACAAAUGAAUUGACAUGAAAAUGGUUAGAAUCAUCUGUAUUUGUUGGUCUAUUCCUUCCAUGAUCAAACUUAUCAAUUCAUAGUAGGAGUUGAAAUCUUUAAGCCUCAUAAAUUUUGCUUAAUGAUCAACACAAUUGUUAUCUCCAUAUAUCAGGCUUUAAAAUUAUCAAGAUACUGAAUUGGCAAAACACGAGUCAGUUGAUUGUGAGAGCGAUCAAUUAUUUACAGCUUUGAAAUAGGAACUCUUGUUUGGGUAUGACCAAUGGGACUGCAAAUCAGUUAGAUCGUAAUAUAAUUACUUGCAAUUUAGGAAGAAUUUCUAACCAAUGAGAAGAGGUAUCAUUAACAUGAUUGUUCACAAUAUCAAAAAUUUCCAAAUGCUGAUAGUUAACCAAAGAUUGAGGCAAUAGUCCUUCCAACUGAUUGCUAUUAAGGUUAAAACUUAGGAAGUCACAGCUUUUUGCAAACAUUUGAGAAAUGCUGCAAAGAGUUGUAAUUUGAGAAAUCUUUAACCUUAAUGACAAUCAAUUAGAAGGAUUAUUACCUCUCUCUUUGGUUAACUGUUGGCAUUUGGAAGUUUUUGAUAAUAAAAAUGAUCAUGUUAAUAAUAUCUUUCUUUAUUGGUUAGAAAUUAUUCAUAAAUUGUAAGUGCUUAUAUUACGAUCUAACCAAUUUCGUGAUCCCAUUGGUCAUAUUAAAACAAGAGUUCCCUUCCCCAAGUUGGGAAUAAUUGAUCUCUCUCAGAAUUAACUCACUGGUGUUUUGCCAACUCAGUAUCUUGAAAAUUCUAAAGUCAUAAUGCGUGGGGAUAACAAUAAUGUUGAUUUCAACUCUUACUAUGAAUUAAUAAUUUUGACCAUAGAAGGAACCGACCAACAAAUGGAGAGGAUUCUAAUCAUUUUCAUGCCAAUUGAUUUGUCGAACAAUCAAUUUCGAGGAAAAUUUUAGAAGUGGUGAGAUAAAUUAAUUCACUUAAAUGUCUUAACAUUUUUCACAACAAGCUGACAAGUUGCAUUCCAUCAUUGUUGGGAAAUCUGUCAGAGCUUGAACGUUUUGACUUCUUCUCAAACAAGCUUAUUGGGCUGAUUCCAAUGCGAUUGGCGAGUCUGAAAUUUCUUUUCUUGCUAAAUUUUUUGUACAGCCAGCUUGAGGGACAUAAACCUCAAGGACCUCAAUUAACUACAUUUUCAAACGAUUUUUAUACUGUAAACUUGAGGUUGUGUGGUUUUCAUUAUCACAAAGCUAACAUUGAGACAUUAGAAUUGUUACUAACAAGAUUGGAUAAAAGAGAUAGUAAUUCGAGCUGGUUUGAUUGGAAGUUCGCUAAGAUGACCAAUGAACCUGGUGGCCUAUGGCAUGACACAUGUACAACACAUGGCAUAAUACAGGCAGAGUUUCAGUAGGGCACCAGAACGACAUGUGUCCGUACAACACGGUAUGAGCACAUUUUGAUAGGGCAUGUGGCACGACAUUACAUGGCACGUACGCGGGUUGAGCUAGGCUGGAUUAAUAAUUUUAGGUACAUGUGCUUAACAAGCACAAUACGAUUAGAGAUAGUAUAAAACACAACACAUGAAAAGGUCCGCAAUAAGAACGUUUAUCUGUUGGGCUAGCAUACGGCUUGCAGACCAUCAAUAACAUGUGGGCCAAUACAUAUUUUAGUAUUUUUUUUUUAUGAAAGUAAAAUUGAAAUUUUAUGAUUUUACAAAUAAUUUAAAUUUGAAUCUUUUUAUCUAUUUCAUUAGCAUAGUUUUUUAAAAAUUCAUUUAAUUCUUAGUUUUAAAAAAAUACUCUAAUUGUUUUACAUUUAUAAUUUACUAAAUGAAUAGAUGAUCAUGAUUUUAAAAAAUAAAAUUAUAAAUAUCAUGAUUUCAUAAAUGUAUGCAGUAAUGUGAUUAUUGAUACGAAAAUAUAGAUCAGCAAUAAGAGUUGAAAAAAAAUUAUUUACUUAGGGAACAAGUUGAGAGAGUUUGAUAUACUCAUAAUUGCCAUUAUUGAGAGUGAAAAGCUUGAUAAUCGGAAUUUUUUAAAACAAUAAGCCAUCAGGAUUCGCUUGGGGGUGUUAUCGUUGUAGACCCUCCGAUACUUAAGUUAAAGAUUAAAAAUAACAUGAUAAUAAAUAAAUAAUAAGAGAAAAAAGAGAAUAAGAGAAUAAAUAUUGUCAUACAAUAUACAUAUUUCGCAUGUAUCUUUAUAUGUAUACACACACACAGAGACACACACCUUUGAGUGAUGAUCUCUUUAUAUAAGAGUGCUAAUAAUAAAAAGUGUUUAAAUUUUAAAUUAUAAAUACCAUGUAAAUAUUGAAUUAAAAAAUAAAAUUAUAAAUACCAUGUAAUAGCAUUGCAGUUUCGUUGGCCAUCGCCUUGAAUUUAAAUUUUAAAAGAACCAAAGAAACAUAGUAAAUGUAAAAAUAACAUAAAAUAACAAAGCUUGAAGAAGUUUACUUCUUUACUUCUUGCAUUUUCAAACUCUACUAUUUUAGGGCUCAAAAUCACUUUCUAUUCUGCAUUUUAUAAAACUAGAAAUUAAAAAUACAAAAUUCUAUGGGAAUGUCGUGUGAUGCGUGGACACUGGGUAGAUAUUCACUGUUUAUAUCUCAGUGCCUUUUUCCUCACCCCUUAUGAGUAAGCUUUGAAUUAGGUACCCAAUUUGUCCAAGAGUUAGCGAGCCAAUGAUCACUCAUUCACUCUAAUUAGAUAUUUAGUGGAUGAAAAUUGAUUGGACGUAAAAGAAAAUGCAGAUGAAUAAUCGAAAUAACUUUCAAGUCCAAAAAAGCUUUGACUUACUUGAUGAUGUCUUGUUAUGAUCACCAAAUGGCUCAGUCUGUGCCGCGUCAACAUGUGAAAACUCAUCCACGUCACCAGCCUCAGCGCUCUCGCCACGUCAUCACUCAAGCGGUUGUAACUGAUGAUAAUUUGGAUAAGAAAAACAGUUGAAUUGGGUCUCUUUUCAACGGGAGAGCACCAAAGACAGAGAAACCAAAAUGGCGCGAGCUUUGCUUCGUUUGAAUAGCACGGCCACGGUCAUAAUGGCCAGUGCUACAAGUGCUACUAAAGAGACAGUUCUUGACGGAGCUCACUUUCAAAUGAAGAACCGAAAUGCCCGCGUUUUGGUACUUGGAGGUACGGGUCGGGUCGGUGCAUCCACUGCAGUUGCUCUCUCGAAGCUCUACCCCGACCUUCAGAUUGUAGUUGGCUCUCGAAACAGGUUAAAUAAUUAAUACCCUUUUCUUUCUUCUGUUUGGUUACCAAAAAAAGCAAGAAAUAAAGGAGGGAAAAUUUUCAAGCUUUGUUAUUUUUUAAUUUUUUUUGCGUUUACUAUGUUUCUUUGGUUAUUUUAAAAUUUAAAAUUCAAGGUGAUGGCUACUGGUAAACUGCAAUGCUUUUACAUGGUUCUGAAAGCACAUUUCUAAACAGUCACUCAACGACAAGUGAUUAUCAUGUCCCACAGUUGUAGAUUAGGGCUCCAAUUGGUAGUGAUGUUGUGCGGUCGUGGCUUGUUAAGACACAUCUACUCUUAAAUGAGAGCUGCUGUGAAACGAGAGCUCUAGUUAUGAAAUAAAAGUUCAUAGUGUCUGGUAAAUGCUACCUUAAAAUAAUCAUUUUGACAAAAAUAGUAAAGCUAAUAUAGGUCAGGCAAUUGUGGGUAAAAUCGUCAUAAUUUUCAAACUGUGAUUGUGAGUGUUUACCAAAUACUUUAAAGUUGUGAUUAGAUGGUAAUAAAAAAAGAGAACCUAAACAGUCCAUAAUAAUAUUGCCAAUGAGGCAAAAAUUGUAAUUCUCUCUCUUUUUGGUUUUCCUAAACAUUUGAAAGGCUGUUUUUGUUGAUUGAUAUGCUUUGACUGUGGUAUGUUAAUAUUUAGAAUGCUGUCAAACAUGCUAGUUCUUGGAUGGAACUAUGGGGACAUGGAGUUGUAAAUUCAAGUAGUUAUGGCUGGAAUAUUUCCUAAUUUACAGUGUUGCUGAGAAAAUUUUGCAUACCGCCAGGGAAAAAGGUGCUGCAAUGGUCUCUACAUUGGGGAAGAAUUCUGAAUUUGCUGAAGUUAACAUUUACAAUGAAGGCUCAUUAUUAAUGGCUUUAAGAGGUGAGAUCAUUCCUCACUGACUAGAUGUAUCUUCUAUUGUUCCACAUCAAUAAUUCUUUUUCUUCUAGAGUCGAAGUAAAGGGAUUUUUUUUUUAUUUUGCAGCGGAUAUUUCGUUAUUGACAAUAUUUUGAUGAUAUUUUAGUCUGUAUGUUAAAUGCUGUAACUUUGCUUCGUCAGAUGUGGAUCUUGUGGUUCAUGCAGCAGGACCUUUUCAACAGGCACCGAAAUGCACUGUAUUGGAAGCUGCCAUAGAGACCAAGGUGAGGAAAGGUAAAUGUUGUGUUUGAAUAUCUCUUUUCCAAGUCCAGUUUUCUAUGUUUUGUAUAUGUGAUAAUUGAAGCAUGUAUACAACUUUACUAUGUACCCAAGAUGUAAACUUAUGUGUUCUUUUUUGUGUCUCCUAACAGACAGCAUACAUUGAUGUUUGUGAUGAUACCAUCUACUCCCAGCGUGCAAAAUCCUUCAAGGACAGAGCAAUAGCUGCAAACAUUCCAGCCAUAACCACUGGAGGAAUCUAUCCAGGAGUGAGCAAUGGUGCUUUUAUGAACAUGAACAUUCUUGUCCUGCUAUCCGCACUUCUAGCACUGUAAAUGAUACGAUUAAGUGAAGAAUAAGGAUAGAGUACUAAUUCUUUAAUUGAAACAUGUGCAGACUACCAAUUCUUGCUUUAGAGCUAAAACUUAAUUGUUGGUAAACUCAUCGACCUGGCUCCAAAGUUCUUAUAUAUGGGUGCACAUAUUGGUUUGACAGAUAGCUUUAGUGACUUUAUAUCAUUAACUUGAGUAUUGCAACUAAGAUAAAGCUCAAAGCUUUCUUUGACAAAGUCUUCAAAAUCUUGAGCUACUUGCACGACAUAAUGAUUUGAAGAAAUAAUAAUGUUGAUGUAGGAAAUGGUGUGGGCAACUUUUAUUUGUUUGUCUUGGGCCAGUAUGUUGGAUUUGGAAAUAUUGGAAGCUUGCAACGAUACAAGAAUCAUUCACCGCCUGCAGACAGCUAUGAUCCAUAUAUGCGAUUUUUGCCAUGUUUAUUUUUCAUAAGAAAUUCAAAUGCUACUUCAGAUUCUAUUAAUAAAUCCCGAAUUCUUGUACAUCCAAAUUUCAUUGUUUCAUGAUUUAUCAUAAUCCAAUAAAGUCUUGAAUGCUUGUACCAAUUCAAAGGUUAGUUGUGGAUCAACAAAAAGAAAUAAAAUGUAUGGGGCUGGACACAUGUCCUAUAUAUAUAUACCAGUUAAUUUUUUUGCCAAGAUAUCUCCACUGUUGGUUAUCUGCUUGAGUCUGAAGCAAUUGUCAACAUUAUAUUGUCUCCAAUAAAUACCUUGAUUGCAUAAAUCAAGCACUUGAUUACUAGCGUAAUCUUGGGGCUAGCUGUAUACUUAUUGUAAAAUACCCAAAUUAUUGGGAUUGAUUAUUCUACUUACCUUGUACAGAAUUAUUUUACAACUAUAAGAACUGGUAUGUCUCAACAAAUUGGGAGAACCUUUUUUCCAAAAAUUAUUUGUCUCUUUUGUUCUCUUUUAUUUGAUAUGGUAUCAGAGCUAUGCAUGUAUAAGAGAAAAUCUUGAAAUUUCUUAUAACAUCAUAGCAAGUUGUUGUGUUGUUCGCGGAUAGAGAUAUCAACUUUCAUUCGUGGAAAUUGAGAUCUUAUUGUUGCAAUCUUGAUUGAGAGUUUGAAUCGUGUCGGUGGGACAUCUUGGGUAAGUGAACAUUUUCUUUAUUCUAGUGUUUAAAAUGUCACAAUCAGAAACCUUGGGUAUCAAAUUAGAUGGGAAAAACUAUUUCUCUUGGGAAUUUCAAUUUCGCAUGUUUGUGAAAGGAAAAGACUUGUGGGGUUAUGUUGAUGGGUCUGAUUCUAGGCCACAAGAAGGAACUGAUAGUGUGAAAAUAAAGGAAUGGGAUUCAAAUAAUGCUAAAAUAAUUAGUUGGAUUUUGAGCUCUGUUGAUGCUCGUAUUGUUCUUAGUUUGAGGCCUUUUCGUUGUUCUAAGGAUAUGUGGAAUUAUUUAAAAAAAAUUUACAAUCAAGAAAACUCUGCUAGAUGUUUUCAACUUGAAUUAGAGCUGUCUGAAUAUAGUCAAGGGAACUUGUCAAUACAAGAUUAUUAUUCUGGUUUUUUAAAUCUAUGGGCUGAAUACCAAGAAUUGGUUUAUGCUACUGUUUCACAAGAGGGGCUGUCUACUUUGCAACAAGUGCAUGAAGUGUCUAAACGAGAUCAGUUUCUUAUGAAAUUAAGGCGUGAUUUUGAACCUAUUCGUGCCAAUCUAAUGUCCAGAAUUCCUUCUCCAUCUUUGGAUAUAUGUCUUGCUGAACUUCUUCGUGAAGAACAACGAUGUAUAACUCAAUCUGUUCUUGAAAUAAAGAAUAAUCAGGUAUCUAAUCCAAUGGAGGUGGCAUUUGCAUCGCAAGCACAUGCAAGGGACAUGAGCAAAGUGCAAUGCUAUAGUUGCAAAGAAUUUGGACAUAUAGCCAAACAAUGCAAAAAGAAAUUUUGUAACUAUUGCAAGAAACCUGGACAUGUGAUUGAUGAAUGUCGACGACGGCCUCAAAAUAAAAAUCCUCAAGCCUUGCAAACUACUAGCUCAAAUUCACAUUCAGAACCUAGUUCCACAAGCCUUACUCCUGAAGUGGUACAACAGAUGAUUUUUUCAGCAUUAUCAGCUCUUGGUGUUUCAGGUAAAAAUGCUUCUUCAUCUCAUUGUUACAUUGAUUCUGGUGCUUCCAACCAUAUGACACCUUCAUCCACAUCUCUUGUCAAUGUGAAACCAUCCUUGGGAAAUUUAGAAAUUCAAACAGCAAAUGGAGAAAGUGUUCCUGUUAAAUCAAUUGGUGAUAUUCCACAUACUUUGCCUUUAACUAAUGUAUUUCAUGUGCCUUGUUUAACUUCGAGUCUUAUUUCUGUUGGGCAAUUGGUUGAAGAUAAUUGUACAGUUUUUUUUUCAAAAUCUGGUUGUAUUGUACAGGAUCAAGAAACGGGGAAAGUGAUCGGGAAGGGACCUAAAUGUGGAAGACUGUUUACUCUAAGCUUGCCUGGCUAUCUCAAGAAUAAAGCCUUGUUCUCUUCACAUUAUUCUACUUUCAUUUCUCUUUUUCAAUUGUGGCAUAAACGUUUGGGUCAUCCAAAUACCAAAACUUUGUUAUCGUUGAUAAAGAGUCGAUUGAUUUCUAAUAAAGAUUUUGUUAAUUCUUCAGAUGUGGUAUUUAAUUGUGAUAGCUGUAAACUUGGUAAAAGUAAAACACUGCCUUUUCCAGUACAUCAAAAUAAUGUAAAAAGUUGUUUUGAUUUGAUUCAUACAGAUGUUUGGGGACCAUCUCCUUUUCCUUCUCAUUCUCGUAAGAAAUAUUUUGUUUCCUUCAUUGAUGACUAUAGCCGUCACACAUGGAUUUAUUUUUUACAUAAUAAAUCUGAUGUAUUUGAUGCCUUUAAACGUUUUCUUGCAUAUACAAAAAAUCAAUUUUCCACUUCUAUCAAAAUCUUAAGAUCUGAUUCUGGAGGGGAAUACAUGUCUAAUGAUUUUCAAAAUUUUCUUCAAAAUGAAGGAAUAAUAUCUCAAAAAACUUGCCCAGACACUCCUCAGCAAAAUGGAAUAGCUGAAAGAAAAAAUCGACAUCUUUUGGAUGUUACUCGUGCUUUGCUUCUUGAUGCAUCUGUACCUUCUCAUUUUUGGGUGGAAGCCUUGUCUACAGCUGCAAACUUGAUUAAUUGUAUGCCAUCAUUUAACCUUUAUAAUGAGUCUCCAUAUUUCCGUUUGCAUAAUAAACAUCCUGAUUAUACUCAAUUACGUGUUUUUGGCUGUCUUUGUUAUUGUCAUCUUCCUGCAUCAGAUAGAAAUAAAUUGACUGCACAAUCUGCAAGAUGUGCAUUUCUUGGGUACGCAUCUGAUCGCAAAGGUUUCCUUUGUUAUGAUCCCAAAGCUCGUCGUACUCGCAUAUCUCGGAAUGUUAUUUUUGUUGAAAAUAUUUAUUUUUUUCAAAAUACCCAUGUCACUACUUCUUUAUCUCCAUGUUCUAAUCUUCAUGACUUUGAUAGUGAUAUUCCUAACAAGGCAAGGUUUAAUCUUGGGAUAGAAAGUGAGCAACGAGACAAAACUAACAGUGAAGAAACAGAGGGUCCUCAGCGAGAAUCUUCCUUAUCUCUUGAUCCAAGCCCUGAAACACAUGAUCCAAGUCUUGAAACACAUGAGUCAAACACAAUAUCCGCUGCACCUCCAUUACGAAGAUCUAGUAGACAAAUCAAACCACCUGACCGCUUGUCUCUUGUGGCCACAUUGUCACCUAUGAGUAUUCCAAACUCUUAUUCCCAAGCCAAACAAUAUUCACAUUGGCAGGUUGCAAUGGAUGAAGAGCUAGAAGCGUUAAGAAGAAAUCAUACAUGGGAUAUUGUCUCUUGUCCCGCUGGUUGUACACCAAUCGGGUGCAAAUGGGUUUACUCUAUCAAACAAAAAGCUGAUGGUUCUUUGGAUCGUUAUAAAGCUCGUUUGGUUGCUCUUGGGAAUUGGCAAGAAUAUGGUAUAAACUAUCAUGAGACUUUUGCUCCAGUGGCCAAAAUGACCACAGUUCGCAUUUUGUUAGCGAUUGCGGGUUCACAAGCAUGGCCUCUUUUUCAAAUGGAUGUAAAAAAUGCAUUCUUGCAUGGAGAUCUACAAGAAGAAGUCUACAUGAAGCUUCCGCCUGGAGUAAGCUCUAAUUCAAAAGCUCAAGUAUGUCGUCUACGACGUUCUCUUUAUGGGCUUAAACAAGCACCACGUUCAUGGUUUACAAAGUUUGGUCAAAUACUGCAUCAGUUGGGUUUUCACCAGAGCUCUAAUGAUCCUUCUAUGUUUAUUCGACGUUCAGCUGCUAGUAUCAUUAUUCUUCUUGUUUAUGUAGAUGAUAUAAUUAUUACGGGGACUGACACAUUUGGUAUCCAGCAAUUUAAGGAGUCUUUGCAUUCAUAUUUUCAAAUGAAAGAUCUUGGCAAUCUCACUUAUUUUCUUGGCCUUGAGGUAUAUCAUUCAAGUGAAGGCAUCUACGUCCAUCAGCAUAAAUACACAAAAGAUUUAAUUGCUUUGGCAAGACUUGAAGAUUCAACGGUCAUAAACACUCCACUUGAGAUCAAUGUUAAAUAUUCGAAAGAUGAUGGUGACUUGCUUUCUGAUCCUACACUAUAUCGGAAACUAGUUGGGAGUUUGAUUUAUUUGACGAUUACCCGACCAGACAUCUCUUAUGCAGUGAACUUAAUGAGCCAAUUUAUGCAUGAGCCUCGACAUUUACAUCUUUCAGCAGUUAAAAGAAUAAUCCGUUAUUUGCUUGGGACUCCUAAUCGUGGACUAUUUUACAAGGCUAGCUCCCCUCUUGUUCUCAAAGCUUAUAGUGAUGCUGAUUGGGCUGGGUGUUCAGACUCUCGUCAAUCAACUACAGGUUGGUGUAUGUAUCUUGGUGACAGUCUUGUCUCUUGGAAAUGCAAAAAACAAGAGAGGGUGUCUAAAUCCUCUACUGAAGCCGAGUAUAGAGCUAUGUCGGGUGCUUGUUCUGAAAUCGUAUGGCUACGACGACUUGUAUCUGAAUUGGGUUUUCCUCAAGCGUCUCCAACGCUAUUGCAUGCUGAUAACAAGAGUGCCAUACAAAUUGCUGAAAAUCCUGUAUUUCAUGAAAGAACUAAACAUAUUGAGGUUGACUGCCACUAUAUUCGAGAUGCUUAUGCUGAUGGUACCAUUCAAUUACCUCAUGUGUCCACAACAUUUCAAAUUGCAGAUAUAUUUACAAAGUCCCUGACCAAGAUACGGCAUCAGUUCUUGGUUGGCAAAUUGAAGCUUGUUGAUUCACCAGCAUCAAUUUGAGGGAGGCUGUCAACAUUAUAUUGUCUCCAAUAAAUACCUUGAUUGCAUAAAUCAAGCACUUGAUUACUAGCGUAAUCUUGGGGCUAGCUGUAUACUUAUUGUAAAAUACCCAAAUUAUUGGGAUUGAUUAUUCUACUUACCUUGUACAGAAUUAUUUUACAACUAUAAGAACUGGUAUGUCUCAACAAAUUGGGAGAACCUUUUUUCCAAAAAUUAUUUGUCUCUUUUGUUCUCUUUUAUUUGAUAGCAAUAACAGAAAAAAAAUAGAAAAGAAAACAAUGACUAAUAUGACUAGUUAUUAUUAAAUUAGUCGUUAAAUAGUUAUUUAUUCUUAUUACGAUAAUUGAGGCAAUAAAUUGCACAUUCUUGUUUAAUUUUGAGUUCUUCAUUGAUAACGUUCAAAUUUUUAUUUUUUAUUUGAUUUUUUUUCCUAAUUUUAGGGGGGAGAAAAGGUAAAGAAUGAGAGAUUAUUUAAUAAAUUAAAUUUAGAGCACAAGCACAGAAGCAUUAAGCUCCUGCUAAACUGUUGUUCGACUUGCAAGUUUUUGGAUCAAAUAAUAAAGUUUGUGCCUUGAGAAGUUAGCUCAUGGCUGGAAUGUUAUUUCUAAUCUAGAGCUAGCGUCCUGAGACAACAGAAGUUAACAUUAACAAUAGAAGACUCAAUUGGUAGACAUUAUUCUUUUACACUAAAUACACAAUUGAGUUCACAGCUAUUCAAAAAAUGGGGCAGUUUUUUAUUUAAUUACAAAAUUACCCUUAUUGAAACCCAUAUAAGAGUAUUUAUAUUAAUUAGUUAUAUUGCUUCUUCAACUAUCAUCAAAUUCUUAUUCGAGUUCAUCAUUUAAGGAAUAAAUGUGUACUAAAUAAUCUCAAAUGAUGUACUAAGCAAAUAUUUUGAGAAAUAAGACUCAUUAUGGCUCCUUUCAUUAGUUGUAUCUUUAAUUUCUUAUUAAUGAAAUUCUCUCGCAUUGCCCAAAAAAAUAUUGUUAGCGUCACCAUUGAAAGGGGCCAAAUUAUGUAUUGUCUGACUAGUGAAACUCUUAUCAUAUCUGCUAAUACGUAUCAGGAAAAUUAUAUUGUUGCAGGAAAAUAGAUUUUCCAAAAAUCUGUCCUUUGGCCGACCGAUCCUAUAUGAUCCUUGUUCAAAUUGGCCCCGUGUGUGGCACGUCAACAUGUCAAAACUCGGCCACGUCAUCAACUUCGCAAAAUUCUCGCCACAUCAUCACUGAACUGGUUACGACGGAUGAUAAUUUGGACAAGCAAAACAGUUGAUAAUUACAAAGAGGGAACACUAAAGGCAGACCAAAGUGGCGCGAGCUUCGCUUAUUUGUACCAAGUAAAUGAAUUUUAGCUGAAAAAAAAGUAGGCCCAUAAUUAUAAAGCAAUGGCCCAGUACUAUACACGUCAUUACAAAAAAAAAAAAAAAAUCGAAACAGAGCUCAAUUUCAAACGAAGAUCCAAAACGCCAGCAUUUUGGUGCAGCCGUUGCUCAGAGUUUUUUCUUUUUAUAUGCCGAAGAAGUGCUUAUUUUCCAAAUAUAUAUCCCUUCUUUCCAUUUAUUCACUUAUAUACGACAAAUUCACCUGCAUAAAGAUUGAAAUACUCUCAUUUGUGAAUUACAAGUUGCAAAUUUUCUAUUUCAAGAUGAAGUUCAUUUACCUGUUCUUUACCAUCUUCAAAAUUUUCCUCUCAUUUUUAUUUCACUUUCUCAACUUCAAAAUUUACCUGCAUAAAGAUUUCUGAUUUCGAAUUAGAAUUGUGAUUCUUCACUUUCUGAUCCUUCCUAUGAGUUUCAUGGCUGCGGAAAAUGUAGAAGUACUAGUUUGAGAUUUUAUAAAUUGUUCAAAAAACCUCUGUCCAAUAGAUUAUAAGGAUAAGCAACAAGACUUGGUGCUCAAAAGUCUAAAAGUAUUAUAAAGACUUGGUAACUCUCUUAUUCACCUGCAUGGCAUAUCUGUUCUUGUGCCUUCAAUAAGAAAAAAGAUAGUAUGGAUUAUUUAACUCAGCCUUUUCAACUUUUGAUUUGCCUCCAGUUAUUGCUCUUAUAUCUUCAGUGGACUUGACUGAAAUGCUCAUUAAUGACUAGAAAAAAUUAUCUUAACUUAUAAGGUGGACUUGACUGAAAUGCUAAUUAAUGACUUUGAGAAAGAAAGACUUGUCAAGUUUUUCUAUACAUACCUCUUAAUUUGGACAUAUCUUAGGUCACUAACUUUCAACUUUUCUGAUCCUUCCCAUGAGUUUCACUAUCAUAGCCGUGGAAAAGAAGUUUGGAGUUUUACAAAAUUGGGAAAAAAUAUUAAUUAAGAUUACUGCUCCGCAAUUCAUGCAAUUGACCAGGAGAAAAGAUCACUUUAGAGCCUUAUAGGGGGAAGGGAUUGAAGGAAAGAUGCCUUUCUAUUUUAAGUUCAGUAGUAAGAAAGAGCAGGCAACUUGGCAUAAGUUUUCAGCUUAAGUUCAUACAGUUGACCAGUUACAUACAUAUAUGAUGACUUAAAAUAUCUGAGAGUUCGGGUUUCUUUUAGUAUAAACGCAUCUGCUUUUGGACAGGUUCGUGGAAAAACUAGAAUAUGUUUUUGAUUUGGUAAAUUAUGUAUUGUUUUGACCAGUUACAUACAUAUAUGAUAACUAAUGGAAGGUCUAACAACUUAGCUUAACAAACUGUAACAGAAUCAAAACAGGGGAGGGAAGAUGAAUUGUGUUUGUGUAAAUGACUGUUAGUCUAGUUAGCUGUUACGCCGGCAAAUAUGAUAACGAACAUCUCGCCGAACUUAAGUAAAUAUCUAAAUGGUUAUUAAUUGGAUACAGCUUCAGCUUUUGGACUGGUUUAUGGAAAUUGAAAAAAUUUGACAAGUGUUCCUCUUGAAGAAUCAAAGUCUACUUUAUACGUGAAGAAAGGGGAUCCCAGUAAAGAUAAUCCAUCAAUGUUCAGUUACAUUCGAGCGUGUUGACUACUUUUAGGAUGAAAGACUUCUAUUGUCCCAAGGAGUUUUACGAGGUCCAUACACAGAGCUGCAAACAGCGUAAGUUACACUCCCCUUAUGCAACAUUCAAAUGAAAUCCAUACAAUCAUGCAAGUCAAAUCAAUACAUACUGAAUAGCUUACCUCAGAAUCUUCACCUGCUGACGCGAGAAUGUUUAGAACCUUUGAGGAUGCAAGGCCAGUUACACUCCCCUUAUGAACAAAUUCAGUGGCAGCCUUCCUCAAACAUUUGCAAAAAGUUGUGUCUUGACAAGUCUUAACCUCAAUGGUAAUUGGUUGGAAGGACCGAUGCCUCCAUCUUUGGUUAACUAUCGGCAUUAUAAGCUGGUUUAUGUAUUGUUCAUGGAGUAGAUAACCAGCUGAUAUGUUUCAUAUUCUAACAGUUGAUAUACAAAAAUCCCAAUUCAAAUUAUGUUUAUAAUCAGCGUCUAUAGUCUAUAGAGAGAAAGAAAAUGAGGGUCAUACAUAAGAAAUCAAUGAUAGGACGUGUUCUCUUGAUCAGGAAUUUUAGACUUUUGGAAGCUAGUAGUGGAAGUCAAAUAAUCUCCAGGUACCAAAAUAUGUUUUGCUUUCAUUUCCAUUGCAUAAGAACAUGAUAUCACACACUUAUAUUUUGAUGGUUAACUUGAUCAAAAUUUUCAGGAAAAAGUUAUUUAAAAAUAAUUUUGAUGUAGGAAUGAUUUGGGGUGAAAUUCAUUUGGUGCCAUUUAGGCCACAUUUUUUCAAUUGGGCGUAUGGUAUAUACUUUUUCAAAGCUGGUGACAAGAUGAACAAUGUUGCCCAUUUGCCUUUGAGUCUGAUGCCCGUGGGGCUUUUACGAAAUUGUACAAUUUCAGGACUCAAAAUCCCAUUUGAAGUUAUUUCAAAUUCCAGCACUUCGGGAAAUUUCUAAGAUUUGUACUUUACUACUUUUAUUUUCAUAACCAAUUCUUAUUUUCUUAGCACUUUUUGGAGAACAUACAACUGAAAUCAUUUUUACCUAAUAACCUAGCAAAAAGCUACUACAUAUCACAAUGUUGACCUCUGGGCUAAUCAAGCAUUUGACUUUCCUAAUACAAUUUAUCACAAAACGAUUAUCCCUUUUCAUAUUUUAAGUUCAAUAAUAAGAAAGAGGAGGCACCUUCCAAAUGUAUGCACCUUUUUUAGUUUUAUCCCACAAAACUUUAUCACAAAACAAUGGCCUUUUCAUAUUUUGAGUUAUUGCUCAAUCCCUUUACAAAAAAUUAUGCACAUUUACUAGGGAUAGAAAAUUGAAAAGAAAAUUUUCGAUAAGAAAACAGCUGAAUAAUCGAAUUUCGAGUCUUUGGUGGACGUUAUUCUUUUAUACAAAAUAUAUCUUUGAGUUAAACAAUUAUUAAAACAUUGGGGCUAGUUUUUCAUUUAACUACAAAAUUACUUUUUUUGAAACCCAUAAAACCAUUUUUAAGUGGUAAAUUAGUUCUAUCACGUCUUCAACUAUUGCCAAAUUCUUAUUUGAGUUCACCAUUUUACUAGUAAAUGCGUUAUCUAAAUAAUUUCAAAUGAUGUAUUAAAUAAAUAUUUUGAGGAACAAGACUCAUUAUGUCUCCUCUCAUUAGUUGUAUUUUUAAUUUCUUUUUAAAAGAUUCUCUCAUAAUCAAUUAAAAAAAUUCAGCCACCCAAAAAAAAAAAAAGUAUUUAGCUUCGCGGCGGAAUGGGGGCUAAAUUGUGUAUUGUUUAACUGGUGAAACUCUUACCACAUCGACUAAUAUGCUGCUUUUGCUAGUGGCAGUGGUGGCAACAGAGCUUGCUCAUAUUGGUAGAAGUGAAAGCAAAGGAGAGACAGAGAGACUAAUUAAGGUUUAUUAUGGUGAAGUCCUGGGUCAGUCGCUUUUGCUGAAAUGAUUGCAAGUAAUCUCCCACUAUGACUGCCAUUUUUAUCUUAUUUAAGUUUCGGUGAAGCCCAUUCACAUAAAAUAAUUGGCAGGAAGUGUUAAGGAGAAAAGAUCGUCCUAAUUCAAUGUCUGGGGGUGCUGCAAUCACUUUUUAUUACUAAAUAUUUUUAAAUUGGAAUAAUGUAUUAACAGAAUAAAAAAUUUCAUAAUCUAACAAUUGAUUUACAACAACCCGAGUCCUGAUUAAAUUCAAAUAAUAAUUAUAAUCAACAUCUAUAGGAAAAUUGAAAACGAGAAUCAUAUGUAAAAAGAAAUCAUUUCGUAUGCCCAUUACCAUAUUAUAUUUGUACAUUAGAAAUUAAUAUAAAAUAAUAAUUUAAUAAUUAAUUUAAUAUAAUUAAUAAUAAAGCAGUAAUAAAUUUAAACAAUAUUAAUACAAAAUUAAUAAAGUAUAAUCUAACAUUAAAUACUAUACAAUAUUAUUAUAAUAAAAUACUAAUUCAAUACCACAUAAAGUAAUAUACUUGCAUUAUUUGGAACUGGCAUAAAGUAAAAUUAAUAAAGUAUAUCAACGCACAUGGAAAAUGCGACUUUUGAAGAAUGCAGUAAAUGGAAGGUUAAAUAGACUUCGUGCAUGCUGUAAAUUUAAAUGAAUCAUAAUUAAUUUCAAAAGGUAGUAAAUGGAAGGCCGAACAACUUUUUUAACAAACUGAAACAGAAUUAAAUCAAUUGUGCUUUGUGCAUAAUGUAUAUGACUGACUAACUAACUAACUACGAGUUUAGCUGCCUGCCACAUCAGCAUUAUAUAACACAUAACUAAUAUCAUUCCGCGUCGAGCAUGUCGUCAAGAUCCCCCUCUUGAAAGGAUUCCACUUACCACCUAAAUUCCAAAGCAAGAAGACUUGGUGCUGUAAGUCAAUAAAUAUUAUAUUAUUAAUUAAUUACACACCAUAUUCAACUUCUAUAAAUAGUCAUUAUAUCUCUCUCUCUUCUUGUGAUUUCAUCAUCCAGAAAAGAAAAAGAAAAAGAAAAAGAAAAUGGGUUAUAUCACUCAGCCUUAUCAACUUUUUAUUUGCCUCCAGUUAUUGCUCUUCUAUUCUCAGUGUUCAGCAAUACUUUGCUCUCACCACCAAAGUUCUGCUUUACUCCAAUUUAAGCACCUCUUUUCCUUUGAAAAACAUUCUUCAUGGUUUUGUGAAACAUUUCAACUACAAAUAUCUCGUCCAAAGAUGAUGUCUUGGAAAGAGGACUCUGAUUGCUGCUCCUGGGAUGGAGUAGCAUGUGAUUCGGCGACGGGUCACGUGAUUGGCCUCGACCUCAGUUGCAGUUGGCUUCACGGCAACAUCCCUUCCAACAGUAGCCUUUCCUUGCUUCCUCGCCUGCGAAAGCUCAACCUGGCUUUCAAUGAUUUCAAUGGCUCUAAGAUUUCUUCUGGUUUUACUAAUCAAUUUCCGAGCUUGACACUCCUUAACCUCUCUUGGAGCAAUUUCUCAGGGUCAAUUCCUACGUCACUAGGUAACAAUAUUACACAACUUGCUUAUUUGGAUCUCUCACAAAACAGUUUUACUGGUUAGAUUCCAUCAUCUUUUUCAAAUCUCCACCAGCUUCGUCAUUUAGAUCUUCGGUCCAGUAACAUUGUUGGUAAAAUUCCUGCAUCAUUAGGUAACAAUAUUACACAACUUGCUUAUUUGGAUCUCUCACAAAACAGUUUUACUGGUCAGAUUCCAUCAUCUUUUUCAAAUCUCCACCAGCUUCGUCAUUUAGAUCUUCGGUACAGUCACUUUGUUGGUGAAAUUCCGGAUAUUUUUACCAACCUAACCCAACUUUCUGAUUUAGACCUGUAUGGGAAUCAACUGACUGGCUCGAUUCCAAGUUCAAUAUUUGAACUUUUGAAUUUGACAUUUUUCUCUCUUUCUUUUAGCAAUUUCAGUGGCAGCGUUGAGCUUUACGAUUUUGCAAAGUUAAAAAAUCUUAACUAUCUUUUUCUUUCUAAUAUUAGUUUAUCAGUGAGCACCAAAUUAACAGUCAACUCGUCUUUCCCUAAUCUUCUGGGGUUGGGUUUACCGGCUUGCAAUAUAAGUGAGUUUCCAGGCAUCUUGAGAACUCAUCAUCAGUUAGAGUGGUUGGACCUUUCUAGAAACCAAAUCCGUGGUAGGAUUCCCAGUUGGAUGUGGGAGAUCGGAGUACAUACUUUGUAUGUCCUAGAUCUUUCACGAAACUUCCUGACAAGCAUAGACCAUCUUCCGUGGAAAAAUCUCCAAUAUCUUACCCUUGAUUCGAACCUACUUCAAGGAUCACUUCCAGAUCUACCACCUCACAUGGUACGGCUUUCAAUUUCCAACAAUAAUUUGACCGGAGAGAUUCCUUCAUCAUUUUGUAAUUUGAAUUCCAUUCAAUCUUUUGACGUAUCCAACAAUAGCUUGAGUGGACAAAUUCCACAGUGUCUUGGAAACUCUACACUUGACACUUUGGAUUUCCGAAUGAACAACUUCCAAGGUAGCAUCCCACAGGCAUAUGCAAAGGGCUGCAACUUGAUUAAUCUUCAACUGAAUGGCAAUCACUUGGAGGGACCAUUGCCAUCUUUGAUUAACUGUGUGAAUUUGCAAUUUCUUGAUGUUGAGAAUAACAACUUGAGCGGCCCAAUUCCAGAAUAUCUUGGAAACACAACACGUUUGUCAUUUCUUAAUGUUGGGAAUAAUAGCUUGAGCGGCCCAAUUCCGGAAUGUCUUGGAAACUCAACACUUGAAAUCUUAGAUAUGAGAAUGAACAAGUUCAACGGCAGCCUCCCUCAAACAUUUGCAAAAAGUUGUGUUUUGGCAAUUCUUAACCUUAAUGGCAAUCGGUUGGAAGGACCAUUGCCUACAUCUUUGGUUAAUUGUCGAUAUUUGGAAGUUAUAGAUGUUGGGAAUAACAACUUGAGCGGCUCAAUUCCAGAAUGUCUUGGAAACUCAACAGGUUUGUCAUUUCUUGAUGUUGGGAAUAACAACUUGAGCGGCCCAAUUCCAGAAUGUCUUGGAAACUCAACACGUUUGCGAUUUCUUGAUGUUGGGAAUAACAGCUUGAGCGGCCCAAUUCCAGAAUGUCUUGGAAACUCAACACUUGAAGUCUUGGAUAUGAGAAUGAACAAGUUCAACGGCAGCCUCCCUCAAACAUUUGGAAAAAGUUGUGUUUUGGAAAGUCUUAAACUUAAUGGAAAUCGGUUGGAAGGACCAUUGCCUCCAUCUUGGGUUAAUUGUCGACAUUUGGAAGUUAUAGAUGUUGGGAACAAUCAGAUUAAUGGUACCUUUCCCCACUGGUUAGACGUUCUUCCCAAAUUGCAAGUUCUUACAUUGCGUUCUAAUAGAUUUGGUGGUCCCAUUGGUGAUACCAAAACAAGAGUUCCCUUCCCCAAGUUGCGAAUAAUUGAUUGCUCUCACAAUCGACUCACCGGUGUUUUGCCACUACGGUAUUUGGAUAGUUUUAAAGCCAUGAGGCCUGGGAAAAACAAUAGUGUUGAAGUCAAUUAUAUGAGGUUGCCAGAUUCUUCUAAUUACUAUGAGUCAAUAUUUCUGACUAUGAAAGGCAUUGACUUACAAAUGGAGAGGAUUCUAACAACUUUUGCAACUAUUGAUUUGUCCAGCAAUAGAUUUCAAGGGAAAAUUCCAGAAGUAGUCGGAAUGCUGAAUUCACUCAAAAGUCUCAACAUUUCCCACAACAACCUGACAGGUGGUAUUCCAUCAUCGCUGAGAAAUCUGACAGAGCUUGAAUCUCUAGACCUCUCUUCAAACAAGCUUGCUGGACGUAUCCCAACGCAACUGGCCAGUCUGAAUUAUCUUUCGGUGUUGAAUCUUUCGAACAACCAGCUCAACGGACCCAUACCACUAGGAUCCCAAUUUAAUACAUUUGGAAAUGAUUCCUAUUCUGGUAACUCAGGGUUGUGUGGAUUCCCAUUAUCAGAGAGCUGCAGCAUUGAUGAGGCACCAGAACCAACAACACCAACAAAACCAACAGGAUUUCUCGAAGGAGAUUAUGCUUCAAGCUGGUUUGAUUGGAAGUUUGCUACGUUGGGUUACGUAUCUGGAGUGGUGAUCGGCUUUUCCAUCGGAUACAUGGCAUUUGUGACUGGAAGGCCACAAUGGUUUGUAAGAAUGAUCGAAAGGAAGCAAUCCAGAAAGCUGAGAAGGGUGAUCAGACGAGGCAGAGCAAGUAGAAGAAGUUUGUAGAUGCAUCUCUAAAGGCCCAGGUGAGUAAUUAUUACGUGGGUGCAUUGCUCUUCUUGGAGAAAAUGUAUUAAAUGAAAUCGCACACAUCUGCCAAUGGGCUUGUACAACGUUGACGGCACUCACAUUUGAGGGUUAAAAGUAAUUUUCGAAGAUCUUUUAUUGUAAUAUAUGUAUCUAUAUUUCAAAAGGAAGAAACCACCGUCAUCCAAAUUUAAUUAAGAAAAAUCUGCACUUUUUCAUAUAUCAACUUUUUUUCGUUUUGUAGAAACAAAAAUAAUUAUGCGUAAAAUGAAACCAAACGGCCAUUAAAUUUAGACGGGUUUUCAUAGCUAUGCCAUACCUUAACAGCAGUCCCCACAUACGGCGCGGCCCAUGAUUCCACUUAUAACACGUUCUCAAGAAAAUGGUUUGAAUAAUUAAAAAAACAUUGGCCCAAAAUCUCUAACCUUUUAUGAUCCUUGUUCAAACGGCCCAGUACUUGCCACGUCAACAUGUGCAAACUCAUCCACGUCACCAGCCUCAGCGCUCUCACCACGUCAUCACUCGAUGAUCAUUUGGAUUAAGAAAAACAGUUGAAUUGGGUCUCGUCAGUCGUCACAGAGGCCGAGCACAAAAGACAAAGAGAAACUGAAAUGGCGCGAGCUUUGCUUUAUUUGAAUCGCACGGCCACGGCCAUAAUAGUUAUGUUGAUUGAUGUGGUUUGACUUUCGUAUGUUAUUAUUUAAAUCCCCUAAUAUGUUAAAAUUUAAAAAACUGUAAAACUUGUUUAAAGUACCAUAAAUAUAAAAAUUACUCUACUCAACAUCUCAACCAUAAAUUAUAUAAAUAACUAAAUAUAAAUACAAAGUUAAAAACCAUGUCUCAUUCCUUUAAAAAACACACAAUUUUAUUCCACAAUCUAAGCAAAGAGUUCAUCAAUUUAACAAAUAAAAUAAAAACACACAACUCAAUACCACAAUUUAGACCAGGAGUUCAUUAGUUCAUUGGUUUAACAAAGAGUUCAUCAAUUUUUUUUUUUAAAUUGUUAAAUGAGAGAGUUGGGUCACAUAAAGCCCGAACCCUGACCCAAAUUUAAUUAAACUUUUAUUUUUUAAGCUUGAGUUCGAUUUUUGACCCUUAAAUUCGGGUCAAAGCCCUAAAAAUUCGAGUCUAGCCAAUCCGGUCAAAAAUCGGGUCGGGCUUUUUUGCCAUCUUUAUCCAAGACAUUGUGGAAUUGGGCUGCUGAAGUUGUUAUUCCUGAAAUUAAUAAACAUCAAACCAAUACAAUUAACUAAAUAUGGUGACAAUGAUCCUUCUAGGUGAUUGUCAUUCAGCGUAAGAGCUUUAUGGGAGGUUAAUUUCAGUACUCCCUCAAUUAUCAAUAUAAUUGAGUAGAGAUUGUCUCUCCCUUACGAAAUGUGAGUGGAGUAGGCACCCUUGAAUAUUAGAGAGAGUUAAAAAUAUAUGAACAAGUGCUUCAGUGUGUCAAUGUAUGGUGAUGGUCUCAGUUAUAUAAUAUGAUUGUAAAUAUUAAUUGUAAUGUCUGAUAUAAUGUCAGUAACAUCUGUAUAUAACAGACUUAAAAAAAAAAAAAUAGACCCAGUACAUUGAUUAACUCAUUUCAAUGGCUCAAAUCCAUGCCAUUUAGGUUAGUAGACCUAAUACCUUGAUUACUGCAUCAUUAGGUAACAAUAUUACACAACUUGCUUAUUUGGAUCUCUCAUCUAACAGUUUUAGUGGUCACAUUCCAUCAUCUUUUUCAAAUCUUCAGCAGCUUCUUCAUUUAAAUCUUCAAUACAAUAACUUUGUUGGUAAAAUUCCGGAUAUGUUUACCAACCUAACCCAACUUUCUUUUUUAAACUUUGCAUAUAAUGAACUGAUAGGCUCGAUUCCAAGUUCAAUCUUUGAACUUUUGAAUUUGACUGAGAUCUAUCUUUCUUUUAACAAUUUCAGUGGCAGCGUUGAGCUUUACGAUUUUGCAAAGCUCAAAAAUCUUAAAGUUCUUUCUCUUUCUAAUAUUAGUUUAUCAGUGAGCACCAAAUUAACAGUCAACUCGUCUUUCCCUAAUCUUUCGGAUUUGGAUUUAUCGGCUUGCAAUAUAAGUGAGUUUCCAGACAUCUUGAGAACUCAACAUCAUUUAGAGUCGUUGGACCUUUACCAAAACUUCCUGACAAGCACAGACCAUCUUCCGUGGAAAAAUCUCCAAAAUCUUUACCUUGAUUCCAACUUACUUCAAGGAUCACUUCCCGAUCUACCACCUCACAUGAUUUACUUUUCAAUUUCCAACAAUAAUUUGACCGGAGAGAUUCCUUCAUCAUUUUGUAAUUUGAAUUCCAUUCAAUCUUUUGACGUAUCCAACAAUAGCUUGAGUGGACAAAUUCCACAGUGCCUUGGAAACUCUACACUCCAUACUUUGGAUCUCGGAAUGAACAACUUCCAAGGUAGCAUCCCACAGACAUAUGCAAAGGGCUGCAACUUGACUUAUCUUCGGCUGAAUGGCAAUCACUUGGAGGGACCAUUACCACCAUCUUUGAUUAACUGUGUCGAUUUGCGAUUUCUUGAUGUUGGGAAUAACAGCUUGAGCGGCCCAUUUCCAGAAUAUCUUGGAAACUCAACACUUGAAGUCUUGGUUAUGAGAAUGAAUAAGUUCAACGGCAGCCUCCCUCAAACAUUUGGAAAAAGUUGUGUUUUGGAAAGUCUUAAACUUAAUGGCAAUCGGUUGGAAGGACCAUUGCCUCCAUCUUUGGUUAAUUGUCAGUAUUUGGAAGUUUUAGAUGUUGGGAAUAAUCAGAUUAAUGAGACCUUUCCCCACUGGUUAGACGUUCUUCCCGAAUUGCAAGUACUUACAUUGCGUUCUAAUAGAUUUCGUGGUCCCAUUGAUGAUACCAAAACAAGAGUUCCUUUCCCCAAGUUGUGAAUAAUUGAUCUCUCUUACAAUCGAUUCACCGGUGUUUUGCCAAUAUGGUAUCUGAAUGGUUUUAAAGCCAUGAUGCACGGGGAUGACAAUAGUAUUGAAGUCAAUUAUAUGAGUUCGUUGAAUUAUUCUUAUUAUGAAUCAAUAUCUUUGACUAUGAAAGGCAAUGACAUACAAAUGGAGAGGAUUUUAACCACUUUUGUAACUAUUGAUUUGUCGAGCAACAGAUUUCAAGGGGAAAUAUCAGAAGUGUUGGGAAAGCUUAAUUCACUCAAAAGUCUCAACAUUUCUCACAACAACCUGACAGGUGGUAUUCCAUUGUCGCUAAGAAAUCUGACAGAGCUUGAAUCUCUAGACCUCUCUUCAAACAAGCUUGCUGGACGUAUCCCAACACAACUGGCGAGUCUCAAUUAUCUUUCGGUGUUGAAUCUUUCGAACAACCAGCUCGAGGGACCCAUACCAGGAGGACCCCAGUUUAAUACAUUUGGAAAUUAUUCCUAUUCUGGUAACUCGGGUCUGUGUGGAUUCCCAUUAUCAAAAAGCUGCAGCAUUGAUGAGGCACCAGAGCCAACAACACCAACAGGAUUUAUUGAAGGAGACGAGGCUUCAAGCUGGUUUGAUUGGAAGCUCGCUAAGUUGGGCUAUGCAUCUGGAGUGGUGAUCGGCUUGUCCAUCGGAUACAUGGCAUUUGUGACUGGAAGGCCACAAUGGUUUAUAAGAAUGAUCGAAAGGAAGCAAUCCAGGAAGCUGAGAAGGGUGAUCAGACGAGGCAGAGCAAGUAGAAGAAGUUUGUAGAUGCAUCUCUAAAGGCCUAGGUGAGUAAUUAUUAGUUUUGUCUUUUGGAAUUAUAAGCUGGUUUCUACUGUUCUUUAAGUAGAUAGCAUGUCGAUAUUAUCGUAAUCUAACAGUUGACUUGCAAAAAUCACAAUCAUAAUUAAUUUUAAAUUAUGUUUAUUAUCAACAUCUAUAGUGAGAAACAAACUGAGGAUAAUGUAUAAGAAAGAAAAUUUUAACUGAAUUAUUGAUGCGACUGUUUUUACUUUUAUUGCCAUUUCAUUAGAACAUGUCGUCACGGACGUACAUUUUGAUGGUAAAAUGAUUUGAAGUAAUAUUGUUGCAGGAAAUUGUGUGGCGAUAACGUAUUUCAAAGUUUGUGAGCAGAAAACAUUCUUUGCCUUUGGCUCAGUGAUAUCAAUUUAAAAACUCAGUGCUUAAUUAAUAACUCUAAGUUUAUUUUAAAGAAAUUUUCGUAGAUCUUUUAUUGUAAUAUAUGUAACUGUAUUUCAAAAGGAACAAAUCACCCUUGUCCAAAUUUAAUUAAGAAAAAUCUGCACUUUUUCAUAUAUCAACAUUUUUCAUUUUGUUGAAACAAAAAUAAUUAUGCGCAAAAUGAAACCAAAUGGCCAUUAAAUUUAGAGGGGUUUUCAUAGCACUGCCAUACUUAACGGCAGUCCCCACGUACGGUGCGGCCCAUGAUUCCACAUAUAACACGUUCUCAAGAUUAGGAUCCUGUUUACUCCUCAAGCUUCCAACAUUCUCCAUGGAUCUUCCCAUGCAAGGAUUUCCACUCAUCAAUUAGCAAAAAAUUCAUAGUAAAUUUGAGGAUGAGUGAUAAUGUUUCAUUCUCAUUUCCCAUUCCAUGAAAUAAACACACCCUUAGUAACAAGACUUGGUACUGUAAGUCUAAAAGUAUUAUAUUUGUUAUUACUAUUUUUUUUAAAAGUGUUGUAUCUAAUUAGAUUCCCCUGUUUUGGUGUGAGUUAAAGAGAUGGCUACGAUAAGUUUUUUAUUCUUGUAAGGAGGACUUGAAUAAAGUGCUCAUUAUUAAUGGCUUUGAGAAAGAAAGACUUGUCCUAUAUAUCCCUCUUAAUUUGAACAAUCUUUCAUCAGCAACUUCAAACCUUUUUUAUCCUUGCCAUGGGUUUCAUAGCCGUGGAAAAGAAAUUAAAGCAGUUUCGAAUUUUAUUUAAAUUGGCCACAAAUUCAUGCAACUUUCAACCUUUUUUAUGCUUUCCAUUGGUUUCAUAGCGUGGAAAAGAAGUUGAAAUAGUUUGAAAUUUUUUUAAGUUGGCCUCAAACUCAUGACCUACUAGAUCCCAAACAAUAUCAUGAGGCUCUCAAUAACAAGACCUGGAGCGCGCUCUAAGUAUAAAUGAACUAUAAUUAAUUAAGACUAUUCCGUCUUAAUUUCAAAAGGUAGUAUGGAUCAAGCUUUUGAAAUUGAUAUUACACAUAUUAAUUUGUAGUUUGACUAAUUAAGAAGUAAAUGGAAGGUCUAACAACUUGCUUACUGAAACAGAGUCAAAACAGGGGAGGAAAAAUUAAUUUUUUUUUUAAAUGACUAUCAAUGAUCUAGCUCGCUGUUACAUCAGCAUAUAUGACAAAUAACUUACAUCUCACUAAACUAUCUUUUUACAUGAACAAAUUACUAUCAAAAUGGUUACUAAUUGGAUACAGCUUCUGCUUUAGUCUGGUUUGUGGAAAUUGAAAAAUUGAAAAAUGCUCCUUUUGAAGAAUCAAAGUCUACUUUAUAUGUAAAUAAAGGGGAUGAUCAAUAAAGAUAGCCCAUCACUGUUCAAUUACUUUCGAGCAUGUCGAUUGUUUCAUGAAGAGAAACUUCGAUUGCCUCUAAGGGUCUAGUCAAGUGAUUUAUAAGUAAUUUUAUUUGAUUAAUCACUUGAAUUCGAAUUUAAUAAAUAUGAGAGAAUAAUAUUUUAAUUGAAAUCCCCUCAUCCAAAUUUUGUUUUUUUUUUUCUAAAAAGAAAUUAGCACUUUGCCAUGUAUGAGUAAAAAUUUUCAUUUUGUGGAAACAAAAAUAAUUAAUUUUGUGCAAAACGGAACCAAACUGCUGUUAAACUUAAAAUCAGUCUCAACGGUAAUGGCCAUCAUUCCCCGUCAAACACGUCGUCAAAUUCCAAAGCAAGACUUGGUACUCUAACCAAUAAGCAUUAUGUUAUUAAUUAAUUACACACCAUUCAACUUGAAUAAAUUGUCAUAUCUCUCUUCUUGCGAUUUCAUUAACCGGCGAAGGGAGAAAAAAAAAUGGGUUAUUUGACUCAGCCUUAUCAACUUGUGAUUUGCCUCCAGUUAUUGCUCUUGUAUUCUCAGUGUUCAGCAAUAAUUUGGCUAAUUGUACCAGUUUAAUGUUUAUGGAUGUUGGGAAUAACAACUUGAGCAGCCCAAUUCGACAACUUCUUAUAAACUCAAUACUUUUUAGGGUCUUGGAUAUGAGAAUGAACGGAUUUCAGGCAGCAUCCCUCAAAUGUUUGCAAAGAGUUGUGAUUUGAGAAGUCUUAUACUUAAUGGCAAUCAAUUAGAAGGACCAUUGUCUCCAUCUUUGAUUAACAGUCAAAUUUGAAAAUUUUUGAUAUUGGGAAUAAUCAUGUUAAUAAUACAUUUCCUCAUUGGUUAGAAAUUCUUCAUGAAUUGAAAGUGUUUAUAUUACGAUCUAACCAAUUUCGGAUCCAAUUGGUGAUAGCAAAAUAAGAGAAAAGGGAACUCUUGUUUUGGUACCCCGAAAUCGUUAGAUCGUAAUAUAAGCACUUGCAAUUGAUAAAGAAUUUCUCAUCAAAAAUAAAAGUAUCAUUAACAUAAUUAUUCCCAAAAUCAAAAACUUCCAAUUGCUGACAGUUAACCAAAGAUGAAGGCAAUGAUCCUUCCAAUUGAUUACCAUUAAUUUAAGACUUAUCAAAUCACAUCUGUUUGUAAACAUUUGAGGGAUGCGGCCAUUGAAUUUGUUCAUUAUCAUAUUCAAGAUCUUAAUAAGUAUUGAGUUUCCAAGACAUUGUGGAAUUGGGCUGCUCAAGUUGUUAUUUCCAAAAUUAAUAAACAUCAAACCGAUACAAUUAACCAAAUAUGGUGGCAAUGGUCCCUCCAGGUGAUUGUUAUUCAGCUAAGCAUACAAAUUGUAGCCUUUUUCGCAUAUGUUUGUGGGAUUCUACCAUGAAGAUUGUUCAUUCUAACAUCUAAAUAUCCCAGUGUAAAAUUUCGAAGACACUGUGGAAUUUUUCCCAUUGAAGAUAUUAUUGGACAUAGAUAUGGCAAAUGGGUCGUGUUGUAUGUGCGAGUAUGUUUUAGUAGGGUAUGUGGCAUGGUGUGCACACAAACAAAUUGAAUUGGACUGAGAAUUUUAAGCACAUGUUCCUUAAAAUCACGUCCUUCUCUAUAUGCAACAAUGGGAAAUAUCAAAUAAUCCUGACUCAAUUAAUUGCAGCAAUAAUGAUGUGGGAGACGAUAGGGGCUUAAUUUGGGUGUACAUCUUCUAUUUUGUAAGUUGAAUUUGAAUGUGUAAUAUAAUUGUUCUGAAACUCACAAUAAGAUAAUUGAUUGGGUGUAAAAAGAAAAUGGAUUGAAUAAUUGAAGUAACUUAGGUCCAAAAUCUCUGAACUUAUAUGAUCCUUGUUCAAAUGGCCCAGUGCGUGCCACGUCAACAUGUGAAACUCAUCCACAUCACCAGCCUCAAUAUUCUCGCGACGUCAUCACUCAACAGGUUCCCACUGACGAUAAUUUGGAUAAGAAAAACUUUUGAAUUAAUAGCCUUCACUCUUCACAGAGAAACCAAAAUGGCGCGAGCUUUGCUUCAUUUGAAUAGCACGGCCACGGCCAUACUGGUCAGGGCUACAAGUGGUACUACAGAGGCAGUUCUUGACAGAGCUCAGUUUCAAAUGAAGAACCAAAACGCCCGCGUUUUGAUACUUCGAGGUACGGGUCGGGUCGGUGGAUCCACUGCCGUUGCUCUCUCGAAGCUCUGCCCCGACCUUCAGAUUGUUGUUGGCUCUCGAAAGAGGUGAAAUCAUUAAUACCCAUUUUAUUUCUUCUGUUUCGUUUCCGCAAAAAUGCAAGAAAUAAAGGAGGGAAAUUUUUCGAGCUUUGUUAUUUUCUGUUAUUUUUACGUUUACUAUGUUUCUUUGGUAAUUUUAAAAUUUAAAUUCAAGGUGAUGUCUAAUGGUAAACUGCAAUGCUUUUACAUCUUUCUUAAAGCACAUUCCUAAACAGUCACUCAACUACAAGUGAUUAUCAUGUCCCGCAGUUGUAGAUUAAGGCUCAAUUUGGUAGUGCCAUUGUGCGGUCGUAGCAUUUCAAGACACGUCUAAUUUUAAAUGAGAGCUGCUGUGAAAUGAGAGCUUUAGUUAUGAAAUAUAUGUUUAUAGUGUUUGGUAAAUGUUACUUUUUAAUAAUAAUUUUGAGAAAAAUAGUAAACCUAAUAUAAGUCAGGCAAUUGUGGGUAAAAUCGCUUUAAUUUUCAAAUUGUAGUUGCGAGUGUUUACCAAAUACUUUAGAAUUGUGAUUAGAUGGCAAUAAAAAAAGAGAACCUAAACAGUCCAUAAUAAUAUUGCCAAUGAUGCAAAACUUGCAAUUCUUUCUCUUUUUGGUUUUCCUAAACACUCGAAAGGCAAUAAUGUCUGUUUUUGUUGAUUGAUAUGCUCUGACUACGGUAUGUUAUUGUUUUAGAAUGUUGUCAAACAUGCUAGUUCUUGGAUGGAACUAUGGAGACAUGGAGUUGUGAAUUCAAAUAGCUAUGGCUGGAAUGUUUCCUAAUUUAGAGUGUUGCUGAGAAAAUUUUGCAUACCAGCAGGGAAAGGUGCUGCAACGGUGGCUACACUUGCAAAGAAUUCUGAAUUUGCUGAAGUUAAUUCUGACAAUGAAGGUUCACUGUUAAUGGCUUUUAGAGGUGCGAUCGUUCGUCUCAGACUAGAUAUGUAUUCUGUUGUUCCACAUCAAUAAUUCUUUUUCAUCCAGAUUUUUCUUUUUUAGUCUGGAGUUGAAGUAGAGGAAUUUUUUAGAAGCAGAAAUUCCGUUAUUAGACAAUAUUUUAAUGAUGCUUUAUUCUGUAUGUGAAAUGCUGUAACUUUGCUUCUGCUGAUGUGGAUCUUGUGGUUCAUGCAGCAGGGCCUUUUCAACAGGCACCGAAAUGCACUGUAAUGGAAGCUGCCAUAGAGACCAAGGUAAGGAAAGGUAAAUGUUGUGUUUGAUUAUCUCUUUUCCAAGUCCAGUUUUUAUGUUUUAUAUAUGUGAUGAUUGAAGCAUGUAUACAACUUUGCUAUGUAACCGAGAUGUCAUCUUAUGUGUUCUUUUUUGUCUCCCAGCAGACAGCAUACAUUGAUGUUUGUGACGAUACAAGCCACUCUCGGCCUGCUAAGUCCUUCAAGGAUAAAGCAAUAGCUGCAAACAUUCCAGCCAUAACUUCAGGAGGAAUCUAUACAGUAGUGAGCAAUGGUGCUUUUAUGAACAUUCUUGUCCUGCAAUCUGUACUAGAAGUGCAGAAAAUUAAAUAUAUGAUUGAGUGAAGAAUAUGGAUAGAGCACAAAUUCUAUAAUUGAAACAUGUACAGUCUGCAAAUUCUUGCUUUAGAGCCAAAACAUCAUUGUUGGUGAUGCUUGGAUACAUGAUUUUUGCCACUGGAAGACCAUAGUGUUUUGUAUGGGAUGAUUGAAUGGAAGCAUCUGCUGCUCCAAGCUAUUAGUUUGUCUUAAUGUUGAUUGCCCGCUGAUUUUUAUAUAUUCUGAACUGCUAUUUGAAUUGUAUAUUAAUGUGAUGUGUUCUUUCUACAGUAAUUUUAGACUCAUGGAAGGUAGCAUUGGAAGCGAAGCAAUCCUCCUGGUGCAAAACUUGCCUUGCUUUAUUUCCGUAUCUUUAGAAUAUUUUACCACUUAUAUUUUAUUGGUAAUUAAAUUUAUAAAAAAUUUGAGGGGAAAAAUGACUUGAAAAUUAUUGAUGUAGGAAAUGGCCUAGGCUAACUUUGAUUUAGUGCAUCUUUGGGCUAUGAAUGUUGAAUUUGGGCGUAUGUUAUAUUGCUUGGAAGCCUGUAACAAGACGAACAACAUUCAUUGUCAUUGUCCUUGUUGCCCAUGAGAUUAUUGCCAAAUUUCAAUGUUUUGGGACUGAAUAUCGCAUUUCCCCUAAGCAAUAAUUUAUGAAAUGACCUUGCACUUGUUUAAAUUGUAUGUAGCCUGUUUAUUAUCUCUCUUUGAAAAUAUUUUUAUUGAGUGUUUUGAUAUUGAGAGAUCUAGAUGCGAUGGGCCACAUGUCACCUGAUUAUAGAUUGAUGUUUAAUAACUUGGCCAAUUAUCAAGUAAAACAUGGCCUAUCAUGCACAAUAACGUGCACGAUGAUGCGCAUCUGAUCAUUCUUUUUGGAUAUCAAUUGAUCUAAGCCUACAAGUUCAGCGUAUAGAUUACACAUAUUUACAGUAGACUACAAAGUGAAUGGAAGGUAAGGAUGGCAAAAAUCCCCACGGGGACGGGGACCCUUGGGGAUUUUUCCUAUUCGGGGAGGGUAUGGGGAUAAUUUUAUACCCAAUUUCUUCUUGGGGAAGGGAUGGGGGUGAUUUUUUACCCAGAUUUUUAUUCGGGGAAGGGACGGGGAUGAGGUGGAAUCCCCAUCCCCUACCCAUUUCCCCAUUUCCUCAUAUUAAUUUUUAUUUUGAUUUUAUUUUUUAGAAUUAUUAAUAAAUGAAAAAUCAAAUUUAAAUUAUAAAAUGUUAAAUAUUAGUAUAAAUAACAAAUAUCAAAAUAUUUAUACGCAUCUACUAUAAAAAUUUCAAGCUUGGUUAAUUAGUUAUAGUCCUAAAUUAUUAUUUGACCAUACCUUAUUUCAAAUGUCUUGGCCCAAAACUAUUUUAAAUUAUGAAUUAUAUUGCUUAUAUUAUUUUUAUUGUUUUAGAUUUGAAACUUGAUGUUAUCUCUCAAUUUCCAACAUUCCUCGAGGAAGAAUAGGAUGAGUAUGAGACACAAGAGUAAAUGCUUUUUUUUUUAAAUAUUAAUUUUAGUAUCUAUACCCAUUUCAUUUAUUUCAUUAUUGAUAUAAGAGUAAUUUCUUUUUAUUAUAAAAUUAUGAAGGUCGAGGAAGAUAAUUAUUCUAAUUAUUUGUAUUAUGUUGUGUAAUUUUUGUAAUGAAUUAAUGUUAAUCUAAGAUAUAUUGUCAAACCUUACCCUUGUUUAAAUUUUUAUUUUAAUAUGAUUAAAUCAAGUUUAGAAAUAAAAAAUAUAUCAGUUAUUCGGGGAUCGGAGACCCCUCGGGGAUCUCCUCUUAUUAUUCGAGGAGGGGACGGGGAUCCUCUCAAGCAAUUCUGAUGGGGACGGGGAUAUAUGAAAAACAUCGGGGAUGGGUGCGGGGAUGUCGGUCCCCUCCCCUCCCCUCCCCAUUGCCAUCCCUAAUGGAAGGUCUAUUCUAAGUCAACUUGCUUAAUAAACUAAAACAUAAUCAAAACAGAGGAGGGAAAAUGAACAGUGUGUCUAUGAAUGUCUAACUAGACUUUGGACCCUACGGACCUAGUCCACUAACUUUCUAAUAACUUUAUUUGAUUCGCCAUUUGAUCACAAGGGAGGUAUGUGUUAUAACAUGUAUAUCGAUACCGUCUAUUCCUCUACCUUCUAUAAAACAAAAAUAAUAAUAAGUAGAGUUUAGGUGGAGCCACAUCACCAUAUACGACAGACAAUUAACAUUUCUCUUAUCUACAUAUCGUUUCAGCUCUAAUUUGGACUGGUUGGUGGAAAUUGGAAAAACUGGAAAAUGCUGCUUUCGAAUAAUCAAAGUCUACUAUAGACGCCAAGCAAGGAAACGCGUAAAAUACAAACAUCGUCUAUCAAUGUUUAUGCUUAAUGUAACAUUGCGUGUUGGCUGUAUUAAUAGAAAUCCUCCUCAUUUGCCAAUAGGCUCGUAGCCCGUUAACAUCACUCAUGCUCUCAAAUCUUGAGAGCAAUUAAUUCGUGGGACUCACUUUUUUCUGUCAAUGUAAAUAGAGCAUAUAUCCCUAAAAAAAUUACGAAAUUAUCCAUCCGACUUUCAAAUUUACGAAAUUACUCAUUGCCCUUGACUAUACAUCCGACUUUUACGAAAUUAUACCAUUUCAGGACCCAAAAUUGCAUUUGAAUUUAUUUUAAACUAUAGACCUUGAGAAACUUCUAAGAAUUGGAGUUUUCCAUGUAAAUCUUGUGUUGUGUGAUUGAUGAACUCUCUAUUUAAUUUUUCUGUUAAUUUGUUGUUUGACAAAUUGCAUGGAGUGAUCUUAGAGGGAAGCUCAAUUUCCUAACAGAAUCUAACUUAGGGAGGGGAAAAAAUGCGAGUCUAGCUGGCUGUUACAUCUCUUUUCACAUACAUAAAUAAAUAUCAACAUUGUUAUUAAUUAGAUACAGCUUCAGCUUUGGUACUGGUUUCUGAAAAUUGGAAAAACUGGAAAAAUGCUCCUUUUGAAGAAUCAAAGUCCACUUUAAAUAAUAAUCCCCAUCAAUAUUUAAUGCUUGUUAUUGACUCUCAACCAGCGGCUGCUUUCAGAAAGAAAGACUUCAAUUGUCCCCAAGGGUCGAAAAGUAUUACAUGACUGAUUAGGUUUCCCCCUUUACUUCCACUUCAUGGUAAUUUCUCUUCCUGUGAUUUCAUCAGGGAGAAAAAAAGGAAAAAAAAGAAAAGAAAAGAAAAUGGGUUAUAUCACUCAGCCUCAUCAACUUUUGAUUUGCCUCCAGUUAUUGUUCUUGUAUUAACGAGUUUAUAUAUCAUUCAAUUAACUAAACACACUUUGGAGAACAUACAACUGAAAUCAUUUUCACACAAUGACCUAGCAAAAAGCUACUAUUCAGCAUAGAGAUUACACACAUAUAUGGCAAACAAUUAAGAGUAAAUGGAAGGUCUAACAACUAAUUGGAAUUUUACAAAACUAGCGACAAAUGCACCAAUAAAUUAGACUCCAGAACAAGAUUAUGAGGCAAAAAGUAGAAAAGUUAGGAAAAUGCUGUUGUGUGAUGGAAUCAUGUUUCAUGACCUCAUUUGUGGGUAAUAAUCCAAUUAGAAAAGAUAGAGAUAAUAGGAAAGUUAGGAAAGUUAGAGAUAAUAGGUAAUAAUCCAAUUAGAAAAGAUAAUUAAAAAUAUAUAAAUUGGAAAUAAUUAAUCCAGACAAAACAAUAAAAACACAAGACAUAGCUUAUAAUUUAGAAGAUAGAAAUGAAGACUUGGUGCUUGGACUCUAAAUGUGUUCUAUUUAAUUAGAUUCCUCUCUAGUGCUGUGAGUAAAAGAGAUGGAUAGAAAAAGUUAUUUUAACUUAUAAGGUGGACUUGACUAAAGUGUUCAUUAAUGACAUGACGUUGAGAAGGAAAGACUUAUUCUCUACAUACCUCUUAAUUUGGGCAAUCGUAUAUCAAUAAUUUUCAAUUUUUUUGAUUCAUCCCAUGGGUUUCAUUAUCAUAGCCGUGGAAAAAAAUUGGCCACAAAUUCAUGCAUCGACUAGAUUCCAAAACAAUAUCAGGAGGCUUAGUAUAACAAAGGACUUGGUGCAUGCUCUAAAAGUCCAAAUGAAUUAUAACUAAUUAGAUUAUUUCAUCAUCAAAUCAAGACUUGGGACAAUAGAAGUAAAUAUCUAAAUGGUUAUUAAUUGGAUACAACUUCAGCUUUUGAACUGGUUUGUGGAAAUUGAAAAAAUUUGAAAAGUUUUCCUCUAGAAGAAUCAAAGUCUACUUUAUACGUGGAGAAAGGGGAUGUCAGUAAAGAUAAUCCAUCAAUGUUCAGUUACAUUCGAGCGUGUUGACUACUUUCAGGAUGAAAGACUUCUAUUGUCCCAAGGAGUUUAAUCCACUGACUAACAUGAGAUUCCAAAUCAAGACUUGGUUCCCUAAAGUCAAUAAGUAUCGAGAGGUCCACACGCAUUUCAGUGGCAACCUUCCUCAAACGUUUGCAAAAAGUUGUGUUUUGACAAGUCUUAACCUUAAUUGCAAUCGUUUGGAAGGACCGAUGCCUCCAUCUUUGGUUAACUGUCGGCAUUAUAAGCUGGUUUAUGUAUUGUUCAUGGAGUAGAUAACCAACUGAUAUGUUUCAUAUUCUAACUGUUGAUUUACAAAAAUCACAGCACUGAUUAAAUUCAAAUUAUGCUAUAAUCAGCAUCUAUAGUCUAUAGAGAGAAAGAAAAUGAGGGUCAUAUAUAAGAAAUCACUGAUAGGAUGUGUUUUGCUUUCAUUUCCAUUGCAUAAGAACAUGAUACCACACACUUACAUUUUGAUGGUUAACUUGAUCAAAUUUUUCAGGAAAAAAAAUUAUUUUAAAAAUAAUUUUGAUGUAGGAAAUGAUUUGGGAUGACAUUCAUUUGGUGCCAUUUAGGCCACAUUUUUUCAAUUGGGCGUAUGGUAUAUACUAUUUCAAAGCUGGUAACAAGAUGAACAAUGUUGCCCAUUUGCCUUGACUCUGACGUCCGGGGGCUUUUACAAAAUUGUACCCUUUCAGGACUCUAAAUCGCAUUUGAAGUUAGUUCAGAUUCCAGCACUUCGGGAAACUUCUAAGAUUUGUACUUUACUACUUUUAUUUUCAUAACCAAUACUUAUGUUACUUCGGUCCGUUUGUAUUUUUAAUUAAUUUCAGUUUAAACCUUAACCUUCUCCCAAUUUGUUUUCGGCUUAGCAGAGCAUAUUAACAGCCUAAAUAGGCGAAAUAAUAUAUCAUUCAAUUAACUAAAACACUUAUUUGGCGAACAUUCAACUGAAAGAAUUUUCAACAAUAUUAGCAACUAGUUUUUUAACUUCUCGGAGAGGAAGUUGCUGCUUUCAAUAAAUUAAAGAUAGUCAAUUCACAGGCUGCUUAUUUGAAUCGGUAAACUAAGAUACGUAUUAUGCCUAACCAUUACAAACAUAGUCUAUCAAUGUUUUGGCUGUAUUAAUAGAAAUCCUCCGCACUCAUGCUCUCAAAUCUUGAGAGCAAUUAAUUCGUGGGACUCACAUUUUUCUGUCAAUAUAAUUAGAUAUGGGUAGAUUUUUUCUACUAAUAUAAAUAGAACAUGUAUCCCUAACAAAUUUACGAAAUUAUCCAUCUGACUUUUAGGAAAUUAUACCAUUUCAGGACCCAAAAUUUCAUUUGAAUUUAUUUUAAAUUACAGUCCUGAGGAAACUUCUAAGAUUUGUACUUUUAUUUUCAUAACAAAAUCUUAAACUACUUCCGUUUGUUGCGUUUUUAAUUAAUUUCAGUUUACACCUUAAACUUCUCUGAUUUUUUUUUCAGCUUAGGAGAGCAUAUUAACGCCUACGUAAAAGAAGCUAUGUACCAUUAUAAAUAGAGUAAUAUAAGUACAAAAUUAAUUCAAACUAGAGAAAAAUAUCACAUAUUUAUAGAGCCUUACUGUAGAAAGCUCAAUGUUGAGUUAGGAAAAGGGUUUAAGAUCUAUAUUGAGUAUUGAUCAAGCAAUUUCAGCAUAGAGAUUACACACAUAAAUAGUAAACAAUUAAGAGUAAAUGGAAGGUCUAGCAACUAAUUGGAAUUUUACAAAAUUAGCGACAAAUGCACCAAUAAACUAGACUCCAGAACAAGAUUACGAGGAAAAAAGUAGAAAGUUAGAAAAAUUAGAGAUAAUAGGUAAUAAUCCAAAUAGAAAAGAUAAUAAAGAAGUAUAUAAAUUAAAAAUAAUUAACCCAAAUAUAACAAAAAAAAACACAAAAUUUAGUUUAUAGUUUAGAAGACUUGGUGCUCUGACUCUAAAGGUGUUCUAUUUAAUUAGAUUCCCCUCUAGUGGUGUGAUUAAAAGAGAUGGAUAGAAAAGGUUAUUUUAACUUAUGAGGUGCACUUGACUGAAGUGUUCAUUAAUGACAUGACGUUGAGAAAGAAAGACUUAUUCUCUACAUACCUCUUAAUUUGGGCAAUGCUACAUCAGUAACUUUCAACUUUUUUUAUUCUUCCCAUGGAUUUCAUUAUCAUGGCUGUGGAAAAAAAGUUGAAGUUGUUUGGAGUUUUGCAAAAUUAGGCAUAAAUUCAUGGAUCAACUAGAUUCCAAAACAAUAUCAUCAGGCUCAGUAUAACAAAGGACUUGGUGCAUGCUCUAAGUCCAAAUGAAUUAUAAUUAAUUAGAUUAUUUCAUCCUCAAUUUUAAACGUUAGUAUUGAUCAAUCUUAUAAGUAGAUUACACAUAUUAACUUGCAGUAAACUAAUUAAGAAGUAAAUGGAUGGUCGAACAACCUGCUUAACAAAUCGAAACAGAGGAGGGAAAAAUAUGAGUCUAGCUGGCUGUUACAUCUCUUUUUACAUAAAUAAAUAAAUAUCAAAAUUAUUAUUAAUUGGAUGCAGCUUCAGCUUUGGUACUGGUUUGUGAAAAUUGGAAAAACUGGAAAAUGCUCCUUUUGAAGAACCAAAGUCUACUUUAAAUAAUAAUCCCCAUCAAUAUUUAAUGCUUGUUAUUGACUUUAAACCAGCGGCCGCUUUCAGAAAGAAAGACUUCAAUCGAAAAGUAAAUAGAUUCCCUCCUUUACUUCCACUUCAUGAGUUACAACUAACCAUUUCACUUCGAUAUAUGGUAAUUUCUCUUCUUGUGAUUUCAUCAGGAGAAAAAAAGGAAAAAAAAAAAAAGAAAAUGGGAUAUAUCGCUCAGCCUUAUCAACUCUUGAUUUGCCUCCAGUUAUUAUUCUUGUAUUAACGAGGUUGUAUAUCAUGCAAUUAACUAAGCACGUUUUGGAGAACAUACAACUGAAAUCAUUUUCAUAUCACAAUGUUGAUCUCUGGGCUAAUCAAGCAUUUACCUUUCCUAAUACAAUUUAUCACAAAACGAUUAUCCAUUUUCAUAUUUGAGGUUCAGUAGUAAGAAGGAGCAGGCACCUUCCAAAUGUAUGCACCUUUUUUAGUUUUAUCCCACAAAACUUUAUCACAAAACAAUGGCCUUUUCAUAUUUUCAGUUACUGCUCAAUCCCUUUACAAAAAAAGUAUGCACAUUUACAAGGGAUAGAAGAUUUUAGUUUGACUUUGAUAUGACCACAAUACUAUUGAAAUUACAAACUUUAUAAGUUCACAAAAUAAAUAUUGUAAAUUUAAGGGGGCUAGAUCAUAAGCUUUAGAAAUAAGUAGAUUCAAUUUUAGUUUGUACCUUUAUCAGGUAAUCCAAAUUUCCAAUUUUCAAACCAAAAUUUAGUUUUAAUUUUUGAUUAAAUUUCUUUAGAAAAUACUCAACUAAAUACUAUUUAUAGUUAAAUAUUAGUUUGAAUGAAUGAACACUUUCAUAGAUGAUUGUGUAAGCAAUUUAUUUGGUUAAUUAACGGUUGUAAUCUUUGAUAAUGAGAAUAACUAAUUUUAAAAAAUUCUAAUGGUUAGCGUAUUAAAAGUGUGUUUGGAACAUAGCAUUGCAUGGUAUUAUAAUGAUAUUCACAUUAAUUUAUUGCUAACCUAUGUUUGGUAAUUUUAGCAGCUACAUUGUGGGCAUAAAACACUAUUAUUGAAACACUAGGGCCAUUUUUUCAUUUAACUACAAACUUACUUCUAUUGAAACCCAUAAAACAAUUUUUAUAUUAAUUAAUUAUAUCAUGUCUUCAACUAUUAUUAAAUUCUUAUUCAAGUUCAUUAUUUAAGUGGUAAAUGCGUUAUCUAAAUAAUCUUAUGUAAUGUAUUAAACAAAUAAUUUGAGGAACAAAGUUCAUUAUGUCUCCUCUUAUUAGAUGUAUCUUUAAUUUGUUAUUAAAAAAAUCUCUCAUAUUCAAUUAAAAAUAUAAAUUCAGUCACCAAAAGAAAAAAAAAAGUUGUUAGCUUCGCGGCUGAACGGGGCUAAAAAAGAAUGAUUUUCCCGAAUCUGUCCUCUGACCGACCGAUCCACUAUGAUCCUUGUUCAAAUUGGCCCCGUACGUGCCACGUCAACAUGUAAAAACGCGGCCACGUCAUCCGUAAACUGGUUAUCAGUAACGGAUGAUAAUUUGGAUAAGCAAAACAGUUCAAUUGAGUCUCUUCACAAAAAUAGGACCAUAAUUAUAAAGCAAUGGCCCCGUACUACACACGUCAUUAACGAAAGCUCGAAGCAGAGCUCAAUUUCAAAACGCCAGCAUUUUGGUGCAGCCAUUGCUCAAGAGUUUUUUGAUUUUAUAUGCCACAAUACUUGCCUAAUUUCCAAAUAUAUCCCCUCCCUUCCAUUUAUUCACUUAUAUGACAAAUUCACCUGCAUAAAGAUUGAAAUACUCACAUUUGUGAAUUACAAGUUGCACAAUUUUUAUUUUAACUUCAAAAUACUUCAGAAGCACUUGUACACAACAUCGCUCACUUGCACCGCCGAGGCCUGCAGUGAUCAGUUUCGUCGUCGUCAUCAUCAUUGGCUACACUCUAAUUACUAACAUAAGCACACUUCAAUAUCAAGUUCAUUUACCUGUUCUUUACCAUCUCCAAAAUUUUCCUCUGAUUUUUAUUUCACUUUCUCAACUUCAAAAUUCGCCUGCAUAAAGAUUUCUGAUUUGGAAUUGAAAUUGUAGCUCUAUACCUCUUGAACUCUCCCAUGAGUUUCGCGGCUGCGGAAAAUGUAGAAGUACUAGUUUGAAAUUUUAUAAAUUUAUUCAAAAAAACCACAGUCCAAUCGAUUCCAAAACUAGAUUAUAAGGCCAACCAAUAAGACUUGGUGCUCAAAGCCUAAAAGUAUUACAAAGACUUGGUGCCUCCCUUAAAUUCACUUCAUACUUGCACAUCAUUUUUCUUCUACAUUUAGUCAUAUCUGUUCUUGUGAUUUCAUUGAGAAAAAAGAUAAUAUGGACUAUUUAACUCAUCCUUUUCAACUUUUGAUCUGCCUCCGGUUAUUGCUCUAUUAUUUUCAGUUUUCUGCAAAUUAAUUAGCAACAUACCAGUAAUAUACUCUAAUUUGGACACAGCUUGCUUCUUCUAGAUAAUUAAACAUGGAAUUGGACACAGCUUCUGCUGAUUCCUUUUGGACGGGGUUUGUGGAAUAGAAAAAAAUAUUUGUUUGUUCCUUGUAGGAGGGACUUGACUAAAGCGCUCAUUAAUUAUUAAUGUGAUUUGAGAAAGAAAGACUUGUUCUGUGUAUACCUAUUAAUUUGGGCAAUUUUACAUCAGUAACUUUCAACUUUUUGAUCAUUCCAUAUGUUUCAUAACUGUGGAAAAGAAAUUCAAGUAGUUUGGAAUUUUACAAAACAAUACCGUGAGGCUCAGUAUAACAAAAUUAACCCGAUUUGGAGCAUGCUCAAUGUUGAUUUGGGGUAAGGGUUUGAGAUCUAUAUUGAGUAUUGAUCAAGUAAUGAGAUUACGUGCACAUUUGUACUAAACAAUUAAGAGUAAAUGGAAAGUCUAACAAGUAAUUGGAAUUUUACAAAACUGACGACAAAUGCACCAAUAAACUAGACUUCAGAACAAGAUUAUGAGGAAAAAAGUAGAAAAGUUAGAGAUAAUAGGUAAUAAUCCAAUUAGAAAAGAUAAUUAAAAAAUACAUAACUUAGAAAUAAUUAAUUCAGACAUAACAAUAAAAACAGAAGACUUAGCUUAUAAUUUAGAAGAUAUAAAUGAAGACUUGAUUCUUUGACGCUAAAGGUGUUCUAUGUAAUUAGACUCCCUUCUAGUGGUGUGAGUAAAAGAGAUGGAUAGAAAAGUUAUUUUAACUUAUAAGGUGGACUUGACUAAAGUGUUCAAUAAUGACAUGACGUUGAGAAAGAAAGACUUAUUCUAUAUGUAACUCUUAAUUUGGGCAAUCGUUCGUCAAUAACUUUCAACUUUUGAGAUUCCUCCCACGGGUUUCAAUGUUUCAUUAUCUUAGCUGUGGAAAAAAGGUUGAAGUUGUUUGGAGUUUUGCAAAAUUGGCCACAAAUUCAUGCACCAACAAGAUUCCGGAAAAAUAUAAUGAGGCUCAGUAUAACAAAAGGCUUGGUGCAUGCUCUGAAAGUCCAAAUGAAUUAUAAUUAAUUACACAUAUUAAUUUGUAGUAAACUAAUUAAGAAGUAAAUGGAUGGUCUAACAACCUGCUUAACAGAUCGAAACAGAAUCAAAACAGAGGAGGGAAAAUGGAUUGAGUUUGUGUAUAGGACUAAUUAUGGAUUGAGUUUGUGUAAAAGCUACUACAUAUCACAUUGUUGACCUCUGGGCUAAUCAAGCAUUUACCUUUCCUAAUACAAUUUAUCACAAAACGAUUAUCCCUUUUCAUAUUUUAAGUUCAGUAGUAAGAAAACAGUGGCCGUUUCAUAUUUUCAGUUAUUGCUCAAUCCCUUUACAAAAAACUAUGUACAUUUACAAGGGAUGGAAGAUUUUGGUUUGACUUUGAUAUGACCAUAAAUACUAUUGAAAUUACAAACUUUAGAGGUUCACGAAAUAAAUAUUGUAAAUUUAAGGGGGCUAAAUCAUAAGCUUUACAAAUAAGUCGAUUCAAUUUUAGUUUGUACCUUUAUCAGGUAAUCCAAUUUUCCAAUUUUCAAACCAAAAUUUAGUUUUUAAUUUUUUGAUUAAAUUUCUUUAGAAAAUACUCAACUAAAUACUGUUUAUAGUUAAGUAUUAAUUUGAAUGAACAUCAUAUAUGAUUGUGUAAGCAAUUUAUUUGGUUAAUUAAUGGUUGUAAUCUUUAAAAAUGAGAAUUACUAAUUUUAAAAAAUUCCAAUGGUUACUGUAUUAAAAGUAUGUUUGGAACAUAGGAAUGCAUAGUAUUAUAAUACUAUUCACAUUAAUUUAUUGCUAACCUAUCUUUGGUAAUUUUAGAAGCCACAUUAUGGUGUAUUGUUAAUUUCUUUUUAAAAAAUUCUCUGAUAUUCAAUUAAAAAAAAUCAGCCACUCAAAAAAAAAAAAAAGUACUUAGCUUUGCGGCUGAAUGGGGCUAAAUUAUGUAUUGUUUGACUAGCGAAACUCUUACCACAUCGGCUGACCACAUCAUAUCGGUAAAAGUGAAAGAUAUUCACUUCAUCUCAUCAAUUUAAAAAUUAAUUAAGAUUACUCCUCCUCAAAAGAUAGUGCUGAUGAAGCUUACAGUUAGAUUACACAUAUUAAUUUGUAGUCAACUGAUGGAAGGUCUAACAACUUAGCUUAACAAACUGUAACAGAGUCAAAACAGGGGAGGCAAAUAUGAUAACGAACAUCUCGCCGAACUGAAGUAAAUAUCUAAAUGGUUAUUAAUUGGAUACAGCUUCAACUUUUGAACUGGUUUGUGGAAAUUGAAAAAAUUUGAAAAGUGUUCCUCUUGAAGAAUCAAAGUCUACUUUAUACGUAAAGAAAGGGGAUGUCGCAAGGAGUUUAAUCGAGUGAUUUUUUAAUUAUUCCACUGACCAACAUGAGAUUCCAAAGCAAGACUUGGUUCCCUAAGUCAAUAAGUAUCGAGGGGUUCACACGCAUUUCCGCGAGGCAUUAAAUAUAGUUUAAUUAUAAUUAUAAUAAAUAAAACACAUAACUAAUAUCAUUCCGCGUCGAUCGUGUCGUCAAGAUCCCCCUCUUGAAAGGAUUCCACUUACCACCUAAAUUCCAAAGCAAGAAGACUUGGUGCUGUAAGUCAAUAAAUAUUAUAUUAUUAAUUAAUUACACACCAUAUUCAACUUCUAUAAAUAAUAGUCAUUAUAUCUCUCUCUCUUCUUGUGAUUUCAUCAUCCAGAAAAGAAAAAAAAAAUGAAAAUGGGUUAUAUCACUCAGCCUUAUCAACUUUUUAUUUGCCUCCAGUUAUUCCUCUUCUAUUCUCAGUGUUCAGCUGCAAUACUUUGCUCUCACCACCAAAGUUCUGCUUUACUCCAAUUUAAGCACCUCUUUUCCUUUGAAAAAGAUUCUUCAUGGUUUUGUGAUGGACGUCAACAAUCUCGUCCAAAGAUGAUGUCUUGGAAAGAGGACGCUGAUUGCUGCUCCUGGGAUGGAGUAACAUGUGAUUCGGCGACGGGUCACGUGAUUGGCCUCGACCUCAGUUGCAGUUGGCUUCACGGCAACAUCCCUUCCAACAGUAGCCUUUCCUUGCUUCCUCGCCUCCGAAAGCUCAACUUAGCCUUCAAUGAUUUCAAUUUCUCUAAGAUUUCUUCUGGUUUUACUGAUCAAUUUCCGAGUUUGACGCUCCUUAACCUCUCUUGCAGCUAUUUCACGGGGUCAAUUCCUGCCUCACUAGGUAACAAUAUUACACAACUUGCUUAUUUGGAUCUCUCAUAUAACAGUUUUACUAGUCAGAUUCCAUCAUCUUUUUCAAAUCUCCACCAGCUUCUUCAUUUAGGUCUUCAGGGCAAUAGCUUUGUUGGUAAAAUUCCUGCAUCACUAGCUAAAAAUAUUUCACAACUUGCUUAUUUGAAUCUCUCCGUUAACAGUUUUAGUGGUCACAUUCCAUCAUCUUUUUCAAAUCUUCAGCAGCUUCGUCAUUUAGAUCUUCGGUACAAUCACUUUGUUGGUAAAAUUCCGGAUAUAUUUACCAAGCUAACCCGACUUUCUUAUUUAGCCCUGGGUGGGAAUCAACUGAUUGGCUCGAUUCCAAGUUCAAUCUUUGAACUUUUGAAUUUGACUGAGAUCUAUCUUUCUUUUAACAAUUUCAGUGGCAGCGUUGAGCUUUACGAUUUUGCAAAGCUCAAAAAUCUUAAAGUUCUUUCUCUUUAUAAUAUUAGUUUAUCAGUGAGCACUAAAUUAACAGUCAACUCGUCUUUCCCUAAUCUUUCGGAGUUGGAUUUAUCGGCUUGCAAUAUAAGUAAGUUUCCAGACGUCUUGAGAACUCAACAUCAGUUAGAGUGGUUGGACCUUUCUAAAAACCAAAUCCGUGGUAGGAUUCCCAGUUGGAUGUGGGAUAUCGGAGUACAUACUUUGUAUUACCUAGAUCUUUCACGAAACUUCCUGACAAGCAUAGACCAUCUUCCGUGGAAAAAUCUCGAAUAUCUUACCCUUGAUUCGAACCUACUUCAAGGAUCACUUCCAGAUCUACCACCUCACAUGGUAGAGCUUUUAAUUUACAACAAUAAUUUGACCGGAGAGAUUCCUUCAUCAUUUUGUAAUUUGAGUUCCAUUCAAUCUUUUGACAUAUCCAACAAUAGCUUGAGUGGACAAAUUCCACAGUGUCUUGGAAACUCUACACUUGAAAGUUUAGAUCUCGGAAUGAACAACUUCCAAGGUACCAUCCCACAGACAUAUGCAAAGGGCUGCAACUUGACUUAUCUUCUGCUGAGUGGCAAUCACUUGGAGGGACCAUUACCACCAUCUUUGAUUAACUGUGUCAAUUUGCUCUUUCUUGACGUUGGGAAUAACAACUUGAGCGGCCCAAUUCCAGAAUGUCUUGGAAACUCAACAAGUUUGUCAUUUCUUGAUGUUGGGAAUAACAACUUGAGCGGCCCAAUUCCAGAAUAUCUUGGAAUCUCAACACGUUUGUCAUUUCUUAAUGUUAGGAAUAACAGCUUGAGCGGCCCAAUUCCAGAAUGUCUUGGAAACUCAACACUUGAAAUCUUAGAUAUGAGAAUGAACAAGUUUAGUGGCAGCCUCCCUCAAACAUUUGCAAAAAGUUGUGUUUUGGUAAGUCUUAACCUUAAUAGCAAUCGGUUGGAAGGACCACUGCCUCCAUCUUUGGUUAAUUGUCGACAUUUGGAAGUUAUAGAUGUUGGGAACAAUCAGAUUAAUGAGACCUUUCCCCACUGGUUAGACGUUCUUCCCGAAUUGCAAGUACUUACAUUGCGUUCUAAUAGAUUUCGUGGUCCCAUUGGUGAUACCAAAACAAGAGUUCCUUUCCCCAAGUUGCGAAUAAUUGAUCUCUCUUACAAUCGAUUCACCGGUGUUUUGCCAAUAUGGUAUCUGAAUGGUUUUAAAGCCAUGAUGCACGGGGAUGACAAUAGUAUUGAAGUCAAUUAUAUGAGGUCGUUGAAUUAUUCUUACUAUGAAUCAAUAUCUCUGACUAUGAAAGGCAAUAACAUACAAAUGGAGAGGAUUUUAACCACUUUUGCAACUAUUGAUUUGUCGAGCAACAGAUUUCAAGGGGAAAUAUCACAAGUGUUGGGAAAGCUUAAUUCUCUCAAAAGUCUCAACAUUUCUCACAACAACUUGACAGGUGGUAUUCCAUCGUCGCUAAGAAAUCUGACAGAGCUUGAAUCUCUAGACCUCUCUUCAAACAAGCUUGCUGGACGUAUCCCAACACAACUAGCGAGUCUCAAUUAUCUUGCGGUGUUGAAUCUUUCGAACAACCAGCUCAAGGGACCCAUACCAGGAGGACCCCAAUUUAAUACAUUUGGAAUUGAUUCCUAUUCUGGUAACUCGGGGCUGUGUGGAUUCCCAUUAUCAAAAAGCUGCAACAUUGAUGAGGCACCAGAACCAACAACACCAACAGGAUUUAUCGAAGGAGACGAUGCUUCAAGCUGGUUUGAUUGGAAGCUCGCUAUGUUGGGUUACGCAUCUGGAGUGGUGAUCGGCUUGUCCAUCGGAUACAUGGCAUUUGUGACUGGAAGGCCACAAUGGUUUGUAAGAAUGAUCGAAAGGAAGCAAUCCAGGAAGCUGAGAAGGGUGAUCAGACGAGGCAGAGCUGGUAGAAGAAGUUUGUUGGUGCAUCUCUAAAGGCCCAGGUGAGUAAUUAUUAGUUUGUCUUUUGGAAUUAUAAGCUGGUUUCUACUGUUCUUUAAGUAGAUAGCAUGCUGAUAUUAUCGUAAUCUAACAGUUGACUUGCAAAAAUCACAAUCCUAAUGAAUUUCAAAUUAUGCUUAUUAUCAACAUCUAUAGUGAGAAACAAAAUGAGGAUAAUGUAUAAGAAAGAAAAUUUUAACUGAAUUAUUGAUGCGAUUGUUUUUACUUUUAUUGCCAUUUGAUUAGAACAUGUAAUCACGGACGUAUGUUUUGAUGGUAAAAUGAUUUGAAGUAAUAUUGUUGCAGGAAAUUGUGCGGGGGUAACUUUGGUUUGUAAUCAUGUACUUCAAAUUUGGGCGUAGAACAUGCUCUAUUAAGUGUGUGCAUUGCUCUUCUUGGAGAAAAUGUAUUAAAUGAAAUCCCACACAUCUGCCAGUGGGCUUGUAUAGCGUUGACAGCACUCAUCCCACACAUCUUCCCAUGCAAGGAUUUCCACUCAUCAAUUAGCAAAAAUUGAAAAACAUUAUAAUUAAAUGUG